CCUAUUGAUUAAGUGACAAAUAAAAGAGAUUGAUUAAUUUGUUCUUGUAGGAGAGGCGAAUGGUAUCCGAAUAAAGAAAGCAAGGGUUUGAUGGAAGGCUUACUUGGAGCAAGAUAGCGAUCAAUCGAGUUGCUGCGUUUUAUUCUCUUUUAUCUUUGUUUUUUAAGAAAAAUAAACUGCCACACGUAGAAACAGAAAAUUAAGUUCUUGUCAUUUUCAUGCAUAUGGAUUGUUGCUGUGUGUGUCAAUCAAAUCUCCGUUGUGUCAUUUGUAAUUUUCAACCUUUAUGCAUGCAAAUGCGAGACCUCUUACGUAUAAUAAAAUUAAUAUACUUCCCAAGAUGGUCUUAUCUUGCGUUGACUUUUUACGUUCCUUUGGUGAUGAUUUUGACGUUUGAAAUUGAUGACUAAUUGACUAUUGUUUUUGUAAACUCUGACAUGGAUUUUUCGUGCAACUACAGAGCGCAUUAACGAGAGACUUAUCCAUGAGGGUCCAUGCAGAUCAGUGUCUAAUUAACCAAUAAUUAAUAUAACUAAAAAAAUAUAGAGUUAACUAUUUUUAUGGGUCAGGCUCAAUUGCAGAUGUUCGUACAAAAUUUCUUGCUAAUGUAUACUUGAGUAUGAUAAUAAGUUUUAAUCAUUAUUAAUAAUUCACUUGAUAAUAUUAAACAAAUUUUCAUAUCAAUUAAGUUACAAAAUUUCUGUGACAAAUUUCCGCGUACUGGAACCAUGCAAAAGGGCUUUAUUCAAACAAAACUGCAUAGCCGUUGGCAAUUAAAAUUAUUUAUCAAUUAAGUUAAGUAGUAAGAAUUGGAUUGUGGAUUCCAUUAAUUAUUUCAAGGAAAAUUUUAUAGAUAAUGCCGUAAUGAAAUUUACGGCAUCAAUACCAUGAUAAAUAUAAAUAUUGUAAAUUACAAAUAGAAUUAGUAAAUGUAAAGUAAAACCAGUAAAUUCAUAAAAGAUUAUUAAUUAUUUAAAAAAUUAACAUUGUUUCUACAUAAUUUUAGUGAAAAAUAUUUUAUUCAUUUACAAAAACAUUUCUUUAAUUAAACAAAAAAAUUCAUUAAUUAAGCAAAAAAAUUAUACUGAAAAAAAAGUGGAAUAAGUUUAAUUGAAUUGGUUAUCAUAAAUUCUAUAUUUAGUCUAGGACAUUUUUAUACAUUUUCUUCCCAUUUUCGAUAAUGAUAUCUAUUUGUUACACAUGUUAAUUAAGUGCAAUUAUUUAUCUUGAUGUGGAUCAAGUAAAAAAAUAUCAUAAAUAAGAUAUCAAUAAAAUUAGAUCUAAUUUUGAAUAUUAUGUAUACUUUAUGUAGUUUCAAACUUUUUACUUGUAUUUGGAGACCAUUUAAGGUUGUUGUUGAAGAAGUGUAGAAAGAUGUAAAAUAACUUCAUCUUACAACAACUAUGAAAGAUAUUAAAAUAAUAAUUUUUUCAAAAUCCGAUUUUGAGAAAAAAAUUCAUCCUUAAUUAAACAUCACAUGUAUUAUAGAAAUGCAAAACUACCAUUGUUAUAUUUAACUUAAAAAAUAAUAAAUAUAUAAGGUAAUAAACAUUAUAAAGAGUUUUUAUUUUAAAAUUGUAAACUUUUGUUUCUGACAAUAACUCUUAUAUUAAUUUAUUUAUUUUGCCUUUUAUUCAUAAGUUUUAUGCAUAAUUUACAAACUUUAAGUUUUAUUUUGCAUUUUAUGUUGAUUUGGUUUUUUUAUAUUAUACGUACAAGUUUUCUUUUUAUUUACCAGUAAUACAUCAAUUUAUCAGCUUGAUAGUAAUUUACUUAUUUUACCUUCCUUUUACAAUUCUUAUGUUUCAUUUCCAAAAUUUAUGUUUUAUUUUACAGUUGUUGAUGAUUUACUAGUUUUAUGUUAUGUUUGCAAGUUUUUGUUUUGUUUACUAGUAAUAGAUUAAUGGGUAAUUUUUAAUUGAGUCCUCAUUAGUUCUAGAAAAACAAUUCAGAGACCAGAAGUUUACUAAAUGAAUCAAUUAAAUUCUUUCAAGUACAAACUAAUGUCAUUCAAGUCCUUAACUUAAUUGGUCAGUUAAAAAUAUUAACAACGUUGAGGACAUUUUAGUAAAACAACAAUUGAGUCGUUUCUCAUUCUUUAUUUUUGACAGGUGGAAAUAGUUUAAAGUAAACUCACUUAACCUGAUUAAGUUAAGGAUCAGUUCUUUCAAAUGAAAAAAAAAAAAAAAACCUACAGAAACUGCCAUAUUCUUCGUGUGGGAGGAGAGAUCGAGAGAACGUGGGAUGGUGCAAAAAAUGUUGUAUAAAUCUACUGUGAUUUUGACCAAAGCUUUGGUAGCAUUGAUUGAGUUCAAGUACUGGAGAGAACCUGAGUUUAAAGGUUAGUAACUCUAUUUUUUUAGUGAUUUCUGCAAGCAUUUUCUGAUAAAAAAUUUUCCGUAUUGAGUGAUCGUUGUGAAAAAUUAAGUUUUUCAAGUCUAUUUUACAAAAUGACAAACUAUGUUUAAUUAUUGAUGGAUUCUUUUUUUUGUUCAAUGUUGUAUUUUGUUAAUUUGUUGUUUUUAAUUUGCUCUUAAUGUAAUUGUUAGACCAAAUACACCAUUAUUAUACCUGUAUUCAUUUCAACAAUUUGGUAUCGUUAUAUUAAUAAGAUUGAAUUCAUUGUAUUUGCUUCUUUGUUCAUGUAAAAUUGAAUUCUAUGUAUUCUUAUGAGUGAUAAUUUUUCUAUCUAUUAGACUAAAUUCACUAUAUUCACUACUUUCUUUCUUUUUGCUGGGCUAUUUUUUCUUUUUAGUUUAUAUUUUUUAUAUGUAUUAGAUUGAAUUUGCUUUUGUACGUUUUUUUUAGCCGAAUUACAUGUAUAUUUCAUUUAGGUUGAGUUUUUUUUGUUGUUUGCUAAAUAAAAUUAUAUUGGUUUAUCCCUUUUUUAUGCAAUACUUUUUGUUUAAAAUUAAUACAGUUAGCCAUGUUACCUUUUUUUUCGGUUAAAAUUAAUGGGGUGAUGUAGGCGAUAGGAUAUAGGGAACCAGAGGAAUAUAAGAUUAUUAGGCUGUUUCUUGAAAUUCAAGAUGUCAUGGUUAAGCAUGGACACAGUGAAAUGGAUUUGAUUGAAAUUUUUGUUGUAUUGCCAUGGACUACAAGUGGCCAGAGGAAGCUAAUUUCAAACGAUAGUGAAUUGUAUUGGGUUUUCGAGGAGUUUUUUUUAAUCAAUAGUUGUCCUGUCAUUGAGUUUGAGGUGCACACUGGGUCAGGUGGUCAGUCAUUUCAUGAAAGUGUUGUAAUAGGACCUGAAAAUCCUGUCAAUAUUAAAAAUUAGUGUUGUAAUAGUGAUAAGUUUGAAAAUGUUGUGGCUAAAAAGGUCUGCCUAGAAUAAUUGGUACUUCUUUAUUUGCCUCAAAGUCCAACACUAUGAAAUCCACAAGGAAAAAGAAUUUAUCCACUUUAACCAGCACGUCUUCAAUCUUGCCUUCAGGAUAAGCAUGAGAUCUGGCAGCACAUUGCAAUGUCACUGUGGUUGGUUUGACUUCUCCAACUCCCAAUUGCUUGAAUUCUGAUAAUGUCAUAAGAUUGAUGCUUGCUCCCAAACCACAAAGUGUCUUGCCACUGUAUUUAGUUCCUAUGGAACAAUGAAUUGUGAAACUUCCUGGAUCCUUCAACUUCUGAGGCAUUUUACUCUGAAGCAUAUGGCUGCAUUCUUGUGUUAGACCAACUAUUUCAAAUUCUCCGAGCCUCAUUUUCCUUGCCAAUAUACAUUUCCAAAACUUUACAUAAUUUGGCAUUUGUUCUAAUGCUUCCACAAAAGAAAUGUUGAUAUGCAGUUCUUUCCAUACUUCCAAGAAUUUACUGAACUGCAUGUCUUGCUUUCGCUUUUGAAAUCUUUGUGGGAAGGGUGGUGGAUGUGUAAAUUGUUGUACUGCAGCAGACUAUACAUAUUGCUUUUCUCUUGCUCUAUUAUGGUAUGUUAUUAUUGGUGUUGCAGCUUCUUCCUCAACAAGCAUUGAAUCAUGUUUUUUUGCAGUUGCUAUAACUUAGCAACUCUCACCAGUGUGCUGGAAAAUGGGUUGUUGUGUCUCUUCUUUAAUUUGAGUUUCCCCUUGGGUUGAAUUAGGUUCCACUCUUCUUUUUGGUACUUUAACAAGUAUAUGAACAUCCUUUCCAAACCUUAAGUUAAUCCCCUUACAAUGCUCUUUUCCUUCUCUCUUUCGAUCCUCUGUAUUGUUUAGUAAAUUGUCCUGAGGUAUGUUGCUCAAUUUUGUAGCAAGCUGUCCAAUCUUAUUCUCCAAGUUUCUUAAAAAUACAGCUUGGCUUUAGACCACUACUCCAAUCUUUACAAUAUACUCCUUAAUCAGAGUUUCAAUGGAACUAAAUUGAUCAUUACUGGUGUUUCUUUACCCUUCAAAUUUCUGGUGAAAAUCAGGUGGCUGAGCAAGUCUGUUCUGUCCACUGGAUGCUGCAGCAUGCUGAUUCUGAUUGCUCCUUUUAAAAUUUGGGUGAUGUCUCCAUCCUAGGUUAUAGGUGUUUGAAAAUGGAUUGCUUUGAUUUUGUUUAUUAAAAUUGCCCACAUAAUUGACGGAAGCUGAAUUCCUAGGACAAUUAUGAUAUAGAUGUCCCUCUCCAUAAUAAACACAAGAGACUUCAGCAAUUUGGUUAACUGUUGCCGGAGCAGUGGCCGUUGCUUUUACCAUAUUUGUCAAUGAGGUUACUUGGGCUGAUAAUGUUGUCAGUGCAUCCACAUUGUGUACUCCUGCUGCUCCUCUCACUGUGGCUUGUCUAGUUGAUGGCCAUUGAUAGUUAUCCUUUCUAAAAUUUCAUAAGCCUCAUUAUAUGAGUUAGACAAUAAAGCCCCUAGUUAUUGAGUUCAACCCAUUGUAGAAAGUUUCCAAUUGUAUGCAAUAAGGAAUACCAUGAUGAGGGCAUCUCCUGAGUAACCCCUUGAAUCUUUCUCAUGCAUCAUACAAGCUUUCAUCUUCAAGUUGAUGGAAAGAUGUGAUCUCAUUCUUCAACUUUGCAUUCUUUGUUGGUGGGAAAUAUUUCAUCAAAAGUUUGUCAGCCAAAUAAUUCCAUGUGGUGAUGGAGUCUGGUUGCAAAGAACUCCACUGUACCAACUAAAAUUGAUUUCACAAAACACAAUAAGCACCAAUCCCCGGCAACGGCGCAAAAAACUUGUUGUCGAUUUUCUAAUGCUAUUAGUGUCAAUGUGAAAAUGUACACAACAAGUAAUAUAACGAUAAGUAUUCACUCCACAAGGAUUAUUAUUAUAGGAAUUGCUACAGUAAUUCUAUCAGUGCCAUUCUUAUUAUAAAUUAGAAUUUAAACAAAUUAUUCAACUAAUGAACUAAGGCAGAUCUUAUUGGGCUAGUCGGCAAUGUGUUGCUUUAGGUCGUGUGGAAUAGUUGCGGGAGUGAUCUUGCAUGAUGUGUGGAGCUAUAACAGUGCUGAGCAUGGGCCAAUCUAUGGGCUCAUGGAACUAGCGAACCUAAUCUAGAAUUUCGAGGAAGAGUACUCUGGUUAGUACUCUAAAUUACCUUAUUAUAUUUUGCACAAACAGAGGCAUGUUAGUGAAAUAAUAUCUAAGCAACCCAAGAGGGGGGUGAAUUGGGUUUCUAAAAAUUAUGCAAUUCUUAAACAAAACUUAAUGCAAAUCUUAAACGAAUUUAAAGCAAUAAUACAUAAAUCAACCAAGGUAUAAAAAGAUAAGGGAAGAGAGAUUAAAACACAGAGAGUUUUACGUGGUUCGGCCAACCUUGCCUACAUCCACACCCCCAAGCACACCGAGCUUGGGCAUUCCACUAGUCAAGCCUUCAAGGCUUCAAGAACACUUACAAUUGACUUCUUAGGUGUCAAUCAACCUUUACAUCUAGAGAUUAUCCCCAAUCUCUUAACCCAAGUGUAUCCCAAUAUUUACAAUCACUCAAAAUAAAGAUUACAAAUUUAUUUUUCUCUCACACAAUUUUUUAAGAUUACAAAUCAACGCUUAAUGUGUGAAUAAAUGAACAAGAAUGAAUUUGAAGCUCAAUGAAUGUUGUAUUCUCGAUUAUAAGCUCAAUGAUAACGUUGUGAUAAGCUCUUGUUUGAAUUUGAUUGAUCUUAUUUAUAGUUGGAGUUGAAAAAUAGCCAUUGUUGACUUUUUCCCGAAAUUGGAUCGCCGUUAACCGUUAUCGGUUAACCGUUUUGACUGGUCCAAGUGACCGUUGAGCUGAAUUUCAAAUAAACGGUUGAUCUUUUGACACUAUCGGUUUGCUGUUAAUUUCCAUAAACCUGUAAAACAAAUUUAUGCUAUUCGUUCUUGCUAAACGGUUGAAGGUCAGCAUGGAAUGACAUUCUAGAAAUUAUUGGUUGGCCGUUUGAAGUUCACGGUUCACCGUUUACUUCUAGAAUCACAGUUUUAACCAAAUUUCGCAGGGAAUGCUUUUUCGGUUAAAGUUAACGAUUAUCCAUAUUUCAUGAACACAUUUAGAAAAAUCAUACGACUUUUGAGAAAUUGUUUAGUAAUGAAAACUCUAACAUUUUAAUCAAAUACAUUUAAAGUUUGUUAUCAUCAAAAUCAAUAUAAUGAACAUCUACAUGUUAACAGUUAGGCCUUGAUUAUUUUUUAAAUCUUAUAAGAUAUAGAGUGAUAAUAGUAACUCAAUUUUCAUAAAACGUGGAAAGAUCAGUCGCCAAAUUUAUAGAUGCCAUAGAAAACCUAGAUUUUAGUAAGGAAUAUCAAGUUAUUUAUACAAUGAAAAUUGUUAAAACUCGAUUAAUUGCAAGGAAACACUUUUAGAGAGAUAUGGAGAGAAUAAACUUUGAAGAUAACAAUGAAAUACAUGACACAUUUAAGGAAGAAAAUAUAAUAGUAUUAAUAGAAUCUAUUUUAACCGGUCUUAAGAUAAUUCAAGAUUGAUGCAAAAUAAAUAACAGGACUCUAAACCGUCCAUAAUAAGUCUAUUGAUUAAUAAUAACAAUAAUAGUGAUGUGAAAUUUUUUAUUCAGAAUGCUCAAUUUAGAUUAUAAUAUCUAUGUGAAAGCAUUGAUGGCAUGUACCUUGGUUAGGAAAAUAGAUUGGACACAUGGAUAUAUAUGUUGGAAGAACAAAUCUAGUUUAUAUCUCAAGAGAGAUAAUAAAUUAUAAAUGACGGUGCUAUAGUAUAUUCAGAUUUUAUAAAUCUUUAUAAAUUUAAUAAUCAUUUAGAUCUUCAUAAUAUUAUAAUAAAACUUUAAAAAACUUUAAAAAUAUAUGUAGAAGAGAUGGAAGAAGAAAUCAUCCAAUUAUUCAAAAUCAAUUAAACAAAAAUAGAAGGUAAAAUCCUUGAAUUAUAUAAAUUAUACAAUUUCACAGAAAUUUUGCAUAUAUUGCGAAACGGUCCUUGUGGCACUAAUUAUGGGACUAGUGUAGCAUAAAUACUAAUAUUGCUUUUUAUUUUGUAAAUUAAUUGUUGCGUCAUAAUUUUUUUACAUACACAUUUUAUGUUUUAAAAUAUGAUUUUUUUUUUGUAUUUAGGGUUAAUUUUACAAUUUCAUACUUUGUUCAAUUAUAUGUACAGGUCCUUCACGUGUUGGUUGAUGUUGAAUAUUCAAAGAUCCACAAGCUAUCAACGACAACGAAUCAAAUUAAACUAAUUAGUUAAUACAUAAUGACUGGGUUGUUUCCUAUGUUGUUAAUGAUGUAGAACGUUAUUUUAGGAUUUUAGAAUUUUAAUUUUUAGGUCUUCUGAUAUUUUCUUUUUUAAUUAAAGUUAGUGUCUUAGUUUUUUAUUUAUUUAUGUUAUAAUUAUAAUUUACUUUCUCUUUUUAAGUUAACUUAGGAAAAUAUAUUUACUGUAUUAUAAAUAAAGAGAUCUUGUUAUUACUUUAUAACUUCAACUUCAGUUAUUCAAUUAAAAACCCCUCUUUUAUAAUUUCCUUUUGUAUUAUCUAUUAAAAACCCCUCUUUUAAAGUUGUUUGAUUAGAGCAUCAUCUAGCCUUGCUUAACGCAGUAUAAAAAAUCCCUUUGAGUUUAAUCACACGUCGAUUAGAGCGUAACUUAAUCGCAUUGACUUGGUCCAUGACUUGAACGAUAUCUAGUGUUUUGCUUCCGCUAUGCCCAAGGAGAAAAUUAAUUUCACCGUGAGAUAAGAGCAUUAAAAGGAAUUCAUAAGAAAUUUAAAUUAAAGCUAUAUAUGUUAAAUAUAUCGCUAGCUACUUGUUUUUGGAGGAAUUAAAACAAUUAAUAAGCUGCGAAGUGAAAAUGAAUAAAUAAAUGAAAUGAGGUUGAAAAUAAGUCUCGCCGCCUGGAUCCAAGGCCAAAACAUUCAUGAUAAGUUAGGUAAUUAAGUACAUGUUUUCAAGCUCUUCAUGAAGAAUAACGUUAUUGAAAUAAAUCACAAAGACUCCCUGCGCAAAUUAUUACAUUGAUUAAAAAAAAAAGCCAUAUCUUUAACAGGAUCGUGACUCUCGGACUGUUAAUUACUUUAUUCCCUGCUUGGCCAACAGCUGGCCACUAAACAAAAUCAUAAAAAUUUUAAAUUUAGUCAAAUUGGUCCCACUUGAUGACAUCCUUUUCAUACAUAAAAUUGUUAACGUCAAGGUUAAAUAUGAGAAGUUUGGUAGAGAAGGUAAAAAGGAAGUCUAUAUAAGGAGGGGAACGAGCUUUGUUUAUAGCACAAGUGAAACUCCACUUUAUUGAACGAUGGGGUCUCAAAUGGGCUGCCUCUUUGCCACUCUUUUGGUAGUAUCAGUCUCUCUUAGCUACUUGCCGUUAGAAGCCUCCGCAAACAAAUACUACUACACAUCUCCUCCCCCUCCCAAGUACAAGUCUCCACCACCACCCCCGCCACCGGUUCACAAUUCUCCACCACCACCCCCGGUUUACCUGCCCCCGCCACCUCCUCCACCAGUCUACGUGCCUGCUCCGGCACCAACUCCAAUUUUCCCUUCUCCGCCACCUCCUGUCCCCAAGUCCCCACCACCACCUCACCCUUACGUCUAUGCAUCUCCCCCUCCUCCUUACUACUACUAGAAAGCGGCCAUGAAUAGCUCAUGCUUUUAUGGUAAUCUCAUUUAUUUUUAAAACUGUACAUGUAAAGACUAGUAGUUCAGAAUUACAUUAAGCAUUUCAAUUUUAAGCACCGUGUUCUGUUUAAUUGCGUUCCUAUUGAUUAAGUGACAAAUAAAAGAGAUUGAUUAAUUUGUUCUUGUAGGAGAGGCGAAUGGUAUCCGAAUAAAGAAAGCAAGGGUUUGAUGGAAGGCUUACUUGGAGCAAGAUAGCGAUCAAUCGAGUUGCUGCGUUUUAUUCUCUUUUAUCUUUGUUUUUUAAGAAAAAUAAACUGCCACACGUAGAAACAGAAAAUUAAGUUCUUGUCAUUUUCAUGCAUAUGGAUUGUUGCUGUGUGUGUCAAUCAAAUCUCCGUUGUGUCAUUUGUAAUUUUCAACCUUUAUGCAUGCAAAUGCGAGACCUCUUACGUAUAAUAAAAUUAAUAUACUUCCCAAGAUGGUCUUAUCUUGCGUUGACUUUUUACGUUCCUUUGGUGAUGAUUUUGACGUUUGAAAUUGAUGACUAAUUGACUAUUGUUUUUGUAAACUCUGACAUGGAUUUUUCGUGCAACUACAGAGCGCAUUAACGAGAGACUUAUCCAUGAGGGUCCAUGCAGAUCAGUGUCUAAUUAACCAAUAAUUAAUAUAACUAAAAAAAUAUAGAGUUAACUAUUUUUAUGGGUCAGGCUCAAUUGCAGAUGUUCGUACAAAAUUUCUUGCUAAUGUAUACUUGAGUAUGAUAAUAAGUUUUUAAUCAUUAUUAAUAAUUCACUUGAUAAUAUUAAACAAAUUUUCAUAUCAAUUAAGUUACAAAAUUUCUGUGACAAAUUUCCGCGUACUGGAACCAUGCAAAAGGGCUUUAUUCAAACAAAACUGCAUAGCCGUUGGCAAUUAAAAUUAUUUAUCAAUUAAGUUAAGUAGUAAGAAUUGGAUUGUGGAUUCCAUUAAUUAUUUCAAGGAAAAUUUUAUAGAUAAUGCCGUAAUGAAAUUUACGGCAUCAAUACCAUGAUAAAUAUAAAUAUUGUAAAUUACAAAUAGAAUUAGUAAAUGUAAAGUAAAACCAGUAAAUUCAUAAAAGAUUAUUAAUUAUUUAAAAAAUUAACAUUGUUUCUACAUAAUUUUAGUGAAAAAUAUUUUAUUCAUUUACAAAAACAUUUCUUUAAUUAAACAAAAAAAUUCAUUAAUUAAGCAAAAAAAUUAUACUGAAAAAAAAGUGGAAUAAGUUUAAUUGAAUUGGUUAUCAUAAAUUCUAUAUUUAGUCUAGGACAUUUUUAUACAUUUUCUUCCCAUUUUCGAUAAUGAUAUCUAUUUGUUACACAUGUUAAUUAAGUGCAAUUAUUUAUCUUGAUGUGGAUCAAGUAAAAAAAUAUCAUAAAUAAGAUAUCAAUAAAAUUAGAUCUAAUUUUGAAUAUUAUGUAUACUUUAUGUAGUUUCAAACUUUUUACUUGUAUUUGGAGACCAUUUAAGGUUGUUGUUGAAGAAGUGUAGAAAGAUGUAAAAUAACUUCAUCUUACAACAACUAUGAAAGAUAUUAAAAUAAUAAUUUUUUCAAAAUCCGAUUUUGAGAAAAAAAUUCAUCCUUAAUUAAACAUCACAUGUAUUAUAGAAAUGCAAAACUACCAUUGUUAUAUUUAACUUAAAAAAUAAUAAAUAUAUAAGGUAAUAAACAUUAUAAAGAGUUUUUAUUUUAAAAUUGUAAACUUUUGUUUCUGACAAUAACUCUUAUAUUAAUUUAUUUAUUUUGCCUUUUAUUCAUAAGUUUUAUGCAUAAUUUACAAACUUUAAGUUUUAUUUUGCAUUUUAUGUUGAUUUGGUUUUUUUAUAUUAUACGUACAAGUUUUCUUUUUAUUUACCAGUAAUACAUCAAUUUAUCAGCUUGAUAGUAAUUUACUUAUUUUACCUUCCUUUUACAAUUCUUAUGUUUCAUUUCCAAAAUUUAUGUUUUAUUUUACAGUUGUUGAUGAUUUACUAGUUUUAUGUUAUGUUUGCAAGUUUUUGUUUUGUUUACUAGUAAUAGAUUAAUGGGUAAUUUUUAAUUGAGUCCUCAUUAGUUCUAGAAAAACAAUUCAGAGACCAGAAGUUUACUAAAUGAAUCAAUUAAAUUCUUUCAAGUACAAACUAAUGUCAUUCAAGUCCUUAACUUAAUUGGUCAGUUAAAAAUAUUAACAACGUUGAGGACAUUUUAGUAAAACAACAAUUGAGUCGUUUCUCAUUCUUUAUUUUUGACAGGUGGAAAUAGUUUAAAGUAAACUCACUUAACCUGAUUAAGUUAAGGAUCAGUUCUUUCAAAUGAAAAAAAAAAAAAAAAACCUACAGAAACUGCCAUAUUCUUCGUGUGGGAGGAGAGAUCGAGAGAACGUGGGAUGGUGCAAAAAAUGUUGUAUAAAUCUACUGUGAUUUUGACCAAAGCUUUGGUAGCAUUGAUUGAGUUCAAGUACUGGAGAGAACCUGAGUUUAAAGGUUAGUAACUCUAUUUUUUUAGUGAUUUUUGCAAGCAUUUUCUGAUAAAAAAUUUUCCGUAUUGAGUGAUCGUUGUGAAAAAUUAAGUUUUUCAAGUCUAUUUUACAAAAUGACAAACUAUGUUUAAUUAUUGGUGGAUUCUUUUUUUUGUUCAAUGUUGUAUUUUGUUAAUUUGUUGUUUUUAAUUUGCUCUUAAUGUAAUUGUUAGACCAAAUACACCAUUAUUAUACCUAUAUUCAUUUCAACAAUUUGGUAUCGUUAUAUUAAUAAGAUUGAAUUCAUUGUAUUUGCUUCUUUGUUCAUGUAAAAUUGAAUUCUAUGUAUUCUUAUGAGUGAUAAUUUUUCUAUCUAUUAGACUAAAUUCACUAUAUUCACUACUUUCUUUCUUUUUGCUGGGCUAUUUUUUCUUUUUAGUUUAUAUUUUUAUAUGUAUUAGAUUGAAUUUGCUUUUGUACGUUUUUUUAGCCGAAUUACAUGUAUAUUUCAUUUAGGUUGAGUUUUUUUUGUUGUUUGCUAAAUAAAAUUAUAUUGGUUUAUCCCCUUUUUAUGCAAUACUUUUUGUUUAAAAUUAAUACAGUUAGCCAUGUUACCUUUUUUUUCAGUUAAAAUUAAUGGGGUGAUGUAGGCGAUAGGAUAUAGGGAACCAGAGGAAUAUAAGAUUAUUAGGCUGUUUCUUGAAAUUCAAGAUGUCAUGGUUAAGCAUGGACACAGUGAAAUGGAUUUGAUUGAAAUUUUUGUUGUAUUGCCAUGGACUACAAGUGGCCAGAGGAAGCUAAUUUCAAACGAUAGUGAAUUGUAUUGGGUUUUCGAGGAGUUUUUUUUAAUCAAUAGUUGUCCUGUCAUUGAGUUUGAGGUGCACACUGGGUCAGGUGGUCAGUCAUUUCAUGAAAGUGUUGUAAUAGGACCUGAAAAUCCUGUCAAUAUUAAAAAUUAGUGUUGUAAUAGUGAUAAGUUUGAAAAUGUUGUGGCUAAAAAGGUCUGCCUAGAAUAAUUGGUACUUCUUUAUUUGCCUCAAAGUCCAACACUAUGAAAUCCACAAGGAAAAAGAAUUUAUCCACUUUAACCAGCACGUCUUCAAUCUUGCCUUCAGGAUAAGCAUGAGAUCUGGCAGCACAUUGCAAUGUCACUGUGGUUGGUUUGACUUCUCCAACUCCCAAUUGCUUGAAUUCUGAUAAUGUCAUAAGAUUGAUGCUUGCUCCCAAACCACAAAGUGUCUUGCCACUGUAUUUAGUCCCUAUGGAACAAUGAAUUGUGAAACUUCCUGGAUCCUUCAACUUCUGAGGCAUUUUACUCUGAAGCAUAUGGCUGCAUUCUUGUGUUAGACCAACUAUUUCAAAUUCUCCGAGCCUCAUUUUCCUUGCCAAUAUACAUUUCCAAAAACUUUACAUAAUUUGGCAUUUGUUCUAAUGCUUCCACAAAAGAAAUGUUGAUAUGCAGUUCUUUCCAUACUUCCAAGAAUUUACUGAACUGCAUGUCUUGCUUUCGCUUUUGAAAUCUUUGUGGGAAGGGUGGUGGAUGUGUAAAUUGUUGUACUGCAGCAGACUAUACAUAUUGCUUUUCUCUUGCUCUAUUAUGGUAUGUUAUUAUUGGUGUUGCAGCUUCUUCCUCAACAAGCAUUGAAUCAUGUUUUUUUGCAGUUGCUAUAACUUAGCAACUCUCACCAGUGUGCUGGAAAAUGGGUUGUUGUGUCUCUUCUUUAAUUUGAGUUUCCCCUUGGGUUGAAUUAGGUUCCACUCUUCUUUUUGGUACUUUAACAAGUAUAUGAACAUCCUUUCCAAACCUUAAGUUAAUCCCCUUACAAUGCUCUUUUCCUUCUCUCUUUCGAUCCUCUGUAUUGUUUAGUAAAUUGUCCUGAGGUAUGUUGCUCAAUUUUGUAGCAAGCUGUCCAAUCUUAUUCUCCAAGUUUCUUAAAAAUACAGCUUGGCUUUAGACCACUACUUCAAUCUUUACAAUAUACUCCUUAAUCAGAGUUUCAAUGGAACUAAAUUGAUCAUUACUGGUGUUUCUUUACCCUUCAAAUUUCUGGUGAAAAUCAGGUGGCUGAGCAAGUCUGUUCUGUCCACUGGAUGCUGCAGCAUGCUGAUUCUGAUUGCUCCUUUUAAAAUUUGGGUGAUGUCUCCAUCCUAGGUUAUAGGUGUUUGAAAAUGGAUUGCUUUGAUUUUGUUUAUUAAAAUUGCCCACAUAAUUGACGGAAGCUGAAUUCCUAGGACAAUUAUGAUAUAGAUGUCCCUCUCCAUAAUAAACACAAGAGACUUCAGCAAUUUGGUUAACUGUUGCCGGAGCAGUGGCCGUUGCUUUUACCAUAUUUGUCAAUGAGGUUACUUAGGCUGAUAAUGUUGUCAGUGCAUCCACAUUGUGUACUCCUGCUGCUCCUCUCACUGUGGCUUGUCUAGUUGAUGGCCAUUGAUAGUUAUCCUUUCUAAAAUUUCAUAAGCCUCAUUAUAUGAGUUAGACAAUAAAGCCCCUAGUUAUUGAGUUCAACCCAUUGUAGAAAGUUUCCAAUUGUAUGCAAUAAGGAAUACCAUGAUGAGGGCAUCUCCUGAGUAACCCCUUGAAUCUUUCUCAUGCAUCAUACAAGCUUUCAUCUUCAAGUUGAUGGAAAGAUGUGAUCUCAUUCUUCAACUUUGCAUUCUUUGUUGGUGGGAAAUAUUUCAUCAAAAGUUUGUCAGCCAAAUAAUUCCAUGUGGUGAUGGAGUCUGGUUGCAAAGAACUCCACUGUACCAACUAAAAUUGAUUUCACAAAACACAAUAAGCACCAAUCCCCGGCAACGGCGCAAAAAACUUGUUGUCGAUUUUCUAAUGCUAUUAGUGUCAAUGUGAAAAUGUACACAACAAGUAAUAUAACGAUAAGUAUUCACUCCACAAGGAUUAUUAUUAUAGGAAUUGCUACAGUAAUUCUAUCAGUGCCAUUCUUAUUAUAAAUUAGAAUUUAAACAAAUUAUUCAACUAAUGAACUAAGGCAGAUCUUAUUGGGCUAGUCGGCAAUGUGUUGCUUUAGGUCGUGUGGAAUAGUUGCGGGAGUGAUCUUGCAUGAUGUGUGGAGCUAUAACAGUGCUGAGCAUGGGCCAAUCUAUGGGCUCAUGGAACUAGCGAACCUAAUCUAGAAUUUCGAGGAAGAGUACUCUGGUUAGUACUCUAAAUUACCUUAUUAUAUUUUGCACAAACAGAGGCAUGUUAGUGAAAUAAUAUCUAAGCAACCCAAGAGGGGGGUGAAUUGGGUUUCUAAAAAUUAUGCAAUUCUUAAACAAAACUUAAUGCAAAUCUUAAACGAAUUUAAAGCAAUAAUACAUAAAUCAACCAAGGUAUAAAAAGAUAAGGGAAGAGAGAUUAAAACACAGAGAGUUUUACGUGGUUCGGCCAACCUUGCCUACAUCCACACCCCCAAGCACACCGAGCUUGGGCAUUCCACUAGUCAAGCCUUCAAGGCUUCAAGAACACUUACAAUUGACUUCUUAGGUGUCAAUCAACCUUUACAUCUAGAGAUUAUCCCCAAUCUCUUAACCCAAGUGUAUCCCAAUAUUUACAAUCACUCAAAAUAAAGAUUACAAAUUUAUUUUUCUCUCACACAAUUUUUUAAGAUUACAAAUCAACGCUUAAUGUGUGAAUAAAUGAACAAGAAUGAAUUUGAAGCUCAAUGAAUGUUGUAUUCUCGAUUAUAAGCUCAAUGAUAACGUUGUGAUAAGCUCUUGUUUGAAUUUGAUUGAUCUUAUUUAUAGUUGGAGUUGAAAAAUAGCCAUUGUUGACUUUUUCCCGAAAUUGGAUCGCCGUUAACCGUUAUCGGUUAACCGUUUUGACUGGUCCAAGUGACCGUUGAGCUGAAUUUCAAAUAAACGGUUGAUCUUUUGACACUAUCGGUUUGCUGUUAAUUUCCAUAAACCUGUAAAACAAAUUUAUGCUAUUCGUUCUUGCUAAACGGUUGAAGGUCAGCAUGGAAUGACAUUCUAGAAAUUAUUGGUUGGCCGUUUGAAGUUCACGGUUCACCGUUUACUUCUAGAAUCACAGUUUUAACCAAAUUUCGCAGGGAAUGCUUUUUCGGUUAAAGUUAACGAUUAUCCAUAUUUCAUGAACACAUUUAGAAAAAUCAUACGACUUUUGAGAAAUUGUUUAGUAAUGAAAACUCUAACAUUUUAAUCAAAUACAUUUAAAGUUUGUUAUCAUCAAAAUCAAUAUAAUGAACAUCUACAUGUUAACAGUUAGGCCUUGAUUAUUUUUUAAAUCUUAUAAGAUAUAGAGUGAUAAUAGUAACUCAAUUUUCAUAAAACGUGGAAAGAUCAGUCGCCAAAUUUAUAGAUGCCAUAGAAAAUCUAGAUUUUAGUAAGGAAUAUCAAGUUAUUUAUACAAUGAAAAUUGUUAAAACUCGAUUAAUUGCAAGGAAACACUUUUAGAGAGAUAUGGAGAGAAUAAACUUUGAAGAUAACAAUGAAAUACAUGACACAUUUAAGGAAGAAAAUAUAAUAGUAUUAAUAGAAUCUAUUUUAACCAGUCUUAAGAUAAUUCAAGAUUGAUGCAAAAUAAAUAACAGGACUCUAAACCGUCCAUAAUAAGUCUAUUGAUUAAUAAUAAUAAUAAUAGUGAUGUGAAAUUUUUUAUUCAGAAUGCUCAAUUUAGAUUAUAAUAUCUAUGUGAAAGCAUUGAUGGCAUGUACCUUGGUUAGGAAAAUAGAUUGGACACAUGGAUAUAUAUGUUGGAAGAACAAAUCUAGUUUAUAUCUCAAGAGAGAUAAUAAAUUAUAAAUGCCGGUGCUAUAGUAUAUUCAGAUUUUAUAAAUCUUUAUAAAUUUAAUAAUCAUUUAGAUCUUCAUAAAAUUAUAAUAAAACUUUAAAAAACUUUAAAAAUAUAUGUAGAAGAGAUGGAAGAAGAAAUCAUCCAGUUAUUCAAAAUCAAUUAAACAGAAAUAGAAGGUAAAAUCCUUGAAUUAUAUAAAUUAUACAAUUUCACAGAAAUUUUGCAUAUAUUGCAAAACGGUCCUUGUGGCACUAAUUAUGGGACUAGUGUAGCAUAAAUACUAAUAUUGCUUUUUAUUUUGUAAAUUAAUUGUUGCGUCAUAAUGUUUUUACAUACACAUUUUAUGUUUUAAAAUAUGAAUUUUUUUUUUUUGUAUUUAGGGAUAAUUUUACAAUUUCAUACUUUGUUCAAUUAUAUAUACAGGUCCUUAACGUGUUGGUUGAUGUUGAAUAUUCAAAGAUCCACAAGCUAUCAACGACAACGAAUCAAAUUAAACUAAUUAGUUAAUACAUAAUGACUGGGUUGUUUCCUAUGUUGUUAAUGAUGUAGGACGUUAUUUUAGGAUUUUAGAAUUGUAAUUUUUAGGUCUUCUGAUAUUUUCUUUUUUAAUUAAAGUUAGUGUCUUAGUUUUUUAUUUAUUUAUGUUAUAAUUAUAAUUUACUUUCUCUUUUUAAGUUAACUUAGGAAAAUAUAUUUACUGUAUUAUAAAUAAAGAGAUCUUGUUAUUACUUUAUAACUUCAACUUCAGUUAUUCAAUUAAAAACCCCUCUUUUAUAAUUUCAUUUUGUAUUAUUUAUUAAAAACCCCUCUUUUAAAGUUGUUUGAUUAGAGCAUCAUCCAGCCUUGCUUAACGCAGUAUUAAAAAUCCAUUUGAGUUUAAUCACACUUCGAUUAGAGCGUAACUUAAUUGCAUUGACUUGGUCCAGUACUUGAACGAUAUCUAGUGUUUUGCUUCCGCUAUGCCAAGGAGAAAAUUAAUUUCACCGUGAGAUAAGAGCAUUAAAAGGAAUUCAUAAGAAAUUUAAAUUAAAGCUAUAUAUGUUAAAUAUAUCGCUAGCUACUUGUUUUUGGAGGAAUUAAAACAAUUAAUAAGCUGCGAAGUGAAAAUGAAUAAAUAAAUGAAAUGAGGUUGAAAAUAAGUCUCGCCGCCUGGAUCCAAGGCCAAAACAUUCAUGAUAAGUUAGGUAAUUAAGUACAUGUUUUCAAGCUCUUCAUGAAGAAUAACGUUAUUGAAAUAAAUCACAAAGACUCCCUGCGCAAAUUAUUACAUUGAUUAAAAAAAAAAAGCCAUAUCUUUAACAGGAUCGUGACUCUCGGACUGUUAAUUACUUUAUUCCCUGCUUGGCCAACAGCUGGCCACUAAACAAAAUCAUAAAAAUUUUAAAUUUAGUCAAAUUGGUCCCACUUGAUGACAUCCUUUCCAUACAUAAAAUUGUUUAACGUCAAGGUUAAAUAUGAGAAGUUUGGUAGAGAAGGUAAAAAGGAAGUCUAUAUAAGGAGGGGAACGAGCUUUGUUUAUAGCACAAGUGAAACUCCACUUUAUUGAACGAUGGGGUCUCAAAUGGGCUGCCUCUUUGCCACUCUUUUGGUAGUAUCAGUCUCUCUUAGCUACUUGCCGUUAGAAGCCUCCGCAAACAAAUACUACUACACAUCUCCUCCCCCUCCCAAAUACAAGUCUCCACCACCACCCCCGCCACCGGUUCACAAUUCUCCACCACCACCCCCGGUUUACCUGCCCCCGCCACCUCCUCCACCAGUCUACGUGCCUGCUCCGGCACCAACUCCAAUUUUCCCUUCUCCGCCACCUCCUGUCCCCAAGUCCCCACCACCACCUCACCCUUACAUCUAUGCAUCUCCCCCUCCUCCUUACUACUACUAGAAAGUGGCCAUGAAUAGCUCAUGCUUUUAUGGUAAUCUCAUUUAUUUUUAAAACUGUACAUGUAAAGACUAGUAGUUCAGAAUUACAUUAAGCAUUUCAAUUUUAAGCACCGUGUUCUGUUUAAUUGCGUUCCUAUUGAUUAAGUGACAAAUAAAAGAGAUUGAUUAAUUUGUUCUUGUAGGAGAGGCGAAUGGUUUCCGAAUAAAGAAAGCAAGGGUUUGAUGGAAGGCUUACUUGGAGCAAGAGAGCGAUCAAUCGAGUUGCUGCGUUUUAUUCUCUUUUAUCUUUGUUUUUUAAGAAAAAUAAACUGCCACACGUAGAAACAGAAAAUUAAGUUCUUGUCAUUUUCAUGCAUAUGGAUUGUUGCUGUGUGUGUCAAUCAAAUCUCCGUUGUGUCAUUUGUAAUUUUCAACCUUUAUGCAUGCAAAUGCGAGACCUCUUACGUAUAAUAAAAUUAAUAUACUUCCAAAGAUGGUCUUAUCUUGCGUUGACUUUUUACGUUCCUUUGGUGAUGAUUUUGACGUUUGAAAUUGAUGACUAUUGUUUUUGUAAACUCUGACAUGGAUUUUUCGUGCAACUACAGAGCGCAUUAACGAGAGACUUAUCCAUGAGGGUCCAUGCAGAUCAGUGUCUAAUUAACCAAUAAUUAAUAUAACUUAAAAAAUAUAGAGUUAAUAAUUUUUAUGGGUCAUGCUCAAUUGCAGAUGUUCGUACAAAAUUUCUUGCUAAUGUAUACUUGAGUAUGAUAAUAAGUUUUAAUCAUUAUUAAUAAUUCACUUGAUAAUAUUAAACAAAUUUUCAUAUCAAUUAAGUUACAAAAUUUCUGUGACAAAUUUCCACGUACUGGAACCAUGCAAAAGGGCUUUAUUCAAGCAAAGCUGCAUAGCCGUUGGCAAUUAAAAUUAUUUAUCAAUUAAGUUAAGUAGUAAGAAUUGGAUUGUGGAUUCCAUUAAUUAUUUCAAGGAAAAUUUUAUAGAUAAUGCCGUAAUGAAAUUUACGGCAUCAAUAUCACGAUAAAUAUAAAUAUUGUAAAUUACAAAUAGAAUUAGUAAAUGUAAAGUAAAACCAGUAAAUUCAUAAAAGAUUAUUAAUUAUUUAAAAAAUUAACAUUGUGUUAUGUUUGCAAGUUUUUGUUUUGUUUACUAGUUUUAUGUUAUGUUUGCAAGUUUUUGUUUUGUUUACUAGUAAUAGAUUAAUGGGUAAUUUUUAAUUGAGUCCUCAUUAGUUCUAGAAAAACAAUUCAGAGACCAGAAGUUUACUAAAUGAAUCAAUUAAAUUCUUUCAAGUACAAACUAAUGUCAUUCAAGUCCUUAACUUAAUUGGUCAGUUAAAAAUAUUAACAACGUCGAGGACAUUUUAGUAAAACAACAAUUGAGUCGUUUCUCAUUCUUUAUUUUUGACAGGUGGAAAUAGUUUAAAGUAAACUCACUUAACCUGAUUAAGUUAAGGAUCAGUUCUUUCAAAUGAAAAAAAAAAAAAAAAAAAACCUACAGAAACUGCCAUAUUCUUCGUGUGGGAGGAGAGAUCGAGAGAACGUGGGAUGGUGCAAAAAAUGUUGUAUAAAUCUACUGUGAUUUUGACCAAAGCUUUGGUAGCAUUGAUUGAGUUCAAGUACUGGAGAGAACCUGAGUUUAAAGGUUAGUAACUCUAUUUUUUUAGUGAUUUCUGCAAGCAUUUUCUGAUAAAAAAUUUUCCGUAUUGAGUGAUCGUUGUGAAAAAUUAAGUUUUUCAAGUCUAUUUUACAAAAUGACAAACUAUGUUUAAUUAUUGGUGGAUUCUUUUUUUUGUUCAAUGUUGUAUUUUGUUAAUUUGUUGUUUUUAAUUUGCUCUUAAUGUAAUUGUUAGACCAAAUACACCAUUAUUAUACCUGUAUUCAUUUCAACAAUUUGGUAUCGUUAUAUUAAUAAGAUUGAAUUCAUUGUAUUUGCUUCUUUGUUCAUGUAAAAUUGAAUUCUAUGUAUUCUUAUGAGUGAUAAUUUUUCUAUCUAUUAGACUAAAUUCACUAUAUUCACGACUUUCUUUCUUUUUGCUGGGCUAUUUUUUCUUUUUAGUUUAUAUUUUUUAUAUGUAUUAGAUUGAAUUUGCUUUUGUACGUUUUUUUAGCCGAAUUACAUGUAUAUUUUAUUUAGGUUGAGUUUUUUUGUUGUUUGCUAAAUAAAAUUCUAUUGGUUUAUCAUUUUUUGAUGCAAUACUUUUUGUUUAAAAUUAAUGCAGGUAGCCAUGUUACCUUUUUUUCGGUUAAAAUUAAUUGGGUGAUGUAUGCGAUAUAGGGAACCAGAGGAAUAUAAGAUUAUUAGGUUGUUUCUUGAAAUUCAAGAUGUCAUGGUUGAGCAUGGACACAGUGAAAUGGAUUUGAUUGAAAUUUCUGUUGUAUUGCCAUGGACUACAAGUAGGCAGAGGAAGCUAAUUUCAAACGAUAGUGAAUUGUAUUGGGUUUUCGAGGAGUUUUUUUUUUUUUUUUAUCAAUAGUUGUCCUGUCAUUGAGUUUGAGGUGCACAUUGGGUCAGGUGGUCAGUCAUUUCAUGAAAGUGUUGUAAUAGGACCUGAAAAUCCUGUCAAUAUAGGUGUUAGUGUUAUAAUAGUGAUAAGUUUGAAAAUCCUGUGGCUAAAAAGGGUAUGCCUAGAAUAAUUGGUACUUCUUUAUUUGCCUCAAAGUUCAACACUAUGAAAUCCACCAAGAAAAAGAAUUUAUCCACUUUAACCAGCAAUCUUCAAUCUUGCCUUCAGGAUAAGCAUGAGAUCUGUCAGCACAUUGCAAUGACACUGUGGUUGGUCUGACUUCUCCAACUUCCAAUUGCUUGAAUUCUGAUAAUGUCAUAAGAUUGAUGGCUUGCUCUCAAAUCACAAAGUGUCUUGCCACUGUAUUUAGUUCCUAUGGAACAAGGAAUUGUGAAACUUCCUGGAUCCUUCAACUUCUGAGGCAUUUUACUCUGAAGCAUAUGGCUGCAUUCUUGUGUUAGAGCAACUAUUUCGAAUUCUCCAAGCCUCCACUACUAGAAAAACAGGCUACUAUGACAGAAUUUUUGUGAUAGAUAUCAGAAAAUUAGUCAUUUAUCACAAAAAUAUAACAUACAUGUGAUAGAAUUUUCAUAUAUCAACAAGGCAUGAUAGAUUUGUGAUAGUUUCUUUAUCUGUCACUUGUACAUGAUAGCAUAUUAAUAUAGUAAUGAAACGGUGAGUUUAAGAUUGGCCAAUUUGGGCAUUGAACGACACCGUGUCUUGAAGCCUUUAAAAAAAAUUCUAAGUGUUGGACACUCCUUUGAACUUCACAUAGAAAACCCUAAUUUCUACAUCCAAACUGAAUCACACAAAAAUACACCAUCACACUUGCCGCCAAUAAAUUGUUGUUGUUCGUCUUUGUCGUCAUCUUCAUCCCCACUCCACAGCUUGCUGGCUAUUCCCAUUUCCCUUUUAUAGCUUGAACAACUGAUCUUCUUCAAGUUCGAGCCACUGUUACUGACUUCUUUCGGGAGAGGUAAGUGAUUAAUUCUUUUUUUUUUUUGAAGAGACAACAAUCACCAUAAAUUUCUCAAAAUCCCUAAAAUUAUGCCAAAAAAAGGAAAAAAUAAAGCCGUUCCAUGGCCUUAAAGGACUGACUUCGAGUUCGUGGACUAACGUGCCAACGACUCCGCUUUAUGGCCUUCGUGGAACGAUUCCGUGACACGCGAGUGGCAGCGUGCUAUUUACGUGGAGUCGGAUCGGAGAAGAUUGUACUACGAGGAGUUGGCGAUGUGAGAAAGACAGCGAGUUAGCUACUACGUCUUCGACUUAGGGUAAAAUUUUGGCAGAAUUUGAACUGAAAUUUAGUGGGUUUUGAGUGGUAAGACGAGGUUUUGAGAGAGGAAAAGGAGUGUUUGGCUGGCGAGAAAGUGAGAGAAAGUUUUUGAGUGUGGAGUGAUGGCUUCUCUGUUUUUACUUCUUUAUUGUUCUUUAUUGAGUAGAUGGUGACGAUACAAACUUUUAACAUUGUUUACUUAAUUAAUUGGAUAACAAUCUUACAUGACUAUUUUGAUUUAUCAGAUAAAUCAGUUAGAGAAGAAUGGAGAUGUUGUUGCUCAGGCACGAGCAAUUACAGCAAUCUAGACACUCUGCCCCGUCUUUCUUUCAAUGUUGUUGGCACACUGAAUAAUUUCCUUAGUGACAAGUUAACCAAAUUUAGAGGUAUAUGUGAUUUUGAUUUGACUUACUCUUAAUGAAAUACAAUAAGGAUUUUUUCUGUUGUUUCUAGGCCUUUUGGAGAGUUCGGAUUGAAGCAACGUUUGCCUUAGCUAAUACAACAUCUAAGGUAUUGUUAUUAUUCUCACCUUUAUUUAUUAAAUAUAUUGAGCACAUGGUAGGUCCACCAAAAUGUAUGCAAAAUCUAUUCACCAGAGGUAUUCGCAUAAAGUGAAUUUUUGUGAGAGACUAUUCUUCAACUGUGAAAACUACUUUGGUAGUUCUCAAACCCAUUACAAUUGAUUGGUGCUUGUGUUUUUCUAUUAGAAAGAUAUCUUCUGUAAAAUCUUUGUGAACUACAUUUUUGGAAAUGCAAAUGCUUUGUGUGGUGGUGAUUGUGCUUAUUUGCUUGGUCUUCUAGCAUUUCAGUGAAAUGAUUUAUUUUGACUUGUGCUUAUGACUAACUUGUUGACAGAGAAACUAGGCCAUUUAUGGAUGCACUGAUAUGAAUCCUAUAAUUUUUCUCUUAAUUGACAUGUUGAACUUUUUGGAAGAUAUUUUUUUUUUAUUUGAUUUGUCACAUAUUGUGCUUUAUUAGUUGGAAAUGUUUUGGUUUGUGGACCAUGUUGCACUUACCAGUUCUCAAUAUUGAUAUAUGAUAUAUACACACUAUUGUACUGGAAAUUGAUUGAGUUGGUUUGCUCCAUCUGGUGAAAUUUUAUAAAAGUCGAAGGUUUGAUGAGAAUAUUGGACUCCCCAAGUGAGAAUCUAUCUAAGUUUGAAAUUGUUCUGAUAUCGUUGCUGCAGCACUUUGUUAACGUUUUUGUUUUCUGCUGAUCAUUCCAGGCCAAAUGAUAUCCGUGAUUUUUCAGAGUAUUUGUUCUUGAGGUAAUGCCUUGAGGUAAGGUAUGUAAUGAGUUGUGUGAAGUGGGAUGUGAUAAUAAUUUUGCCCUCGCUUCAUGUGAUGAAAUCCCACAUAAUUUGCCCUUGCUUUAUGUGAUGAAAUCUUUGGGUGGUUUGUUUAUUUAGUGUUUUUCUAUUUCUUUUUAUAUGCUAAUUUUCAUAGUUCUAGAGCAAGUCUUUCUCUAGUCAUUUUGAAAUACUUCCACAUGCUGCUUCUUAAGCCAAGAUUGUCUUGCCCUAAUGAACAAGUUAAAUGGAUUUGCGUUGCUUGGAGUCUCAGUGUAAUAUAUGUGUUUUAGAACUUAGAUUGAUAAACAAAUUUGAACAAAUACAGUGGAAUAAGAAUAAAGAGAAGAUUAAAAAAAAAAGAGUAGAAAUAAAGAAAAGGAUGGUGAAACUUUAGGAGAAUAGGGGAAUCAAGAGAAGAGGAUAGAAUUUUGAUGGAUUUUAUUUAAUUAUGUAACGGAGGUUUUGUGUUGUUAGAUGUUGUGCGUUAAUUAAUUUGUAAUCUUGGAAAAAUACUUUAUCAUGAAUUGGGUUAAUUGUAAGUGGUCAAUACACUAAUAUAUAUUCUUCUAGCACUCAUCUAAAUGUAAUAUGUGUUUCAGGUGAUGUUGGUGGCUCUUGGGAAUUUACUAUCAGUGUUCUUUUUACGAAUUAAUUGUUUUUCUAAUGAUGGGGUAGUGAUUGAAUAUUGUAGAGAAUUUAUGAGUUAUUCUUACGGAUUUGAUUCACCAUGUAUUUUGAUGAUACUAUUUGUUGGAAGUUUCAAGUAAUUGAAAUUUUUAGUAUAUGGUGAUAUUUGGUAUUUGAUAGUUUUUAUGAAUUUGAAUGUAAUUUUUAUUUCAGUUAAUUCAAAUUUUAAAAUGUGGGUUUUGUUAUUUCUAUUUCAAAAUUCUGGAAUUUAAAUAAUAUUAAUUAGUAUUAUUAUAAUUUCAAAAUUAAAAAUAAUAAUUUUAUUUUUUUAAACCUUAAAUCUCAUGACAGAGAAUGUGAAUCAUUAAUAUAUGAAAGAUUUUGAAAAAGCCCACCAAAUUCAAUAUAAUUUAAAUUACCUGCUAAAAUUUCCAAUUAAUUCUCAAAAGCCUUGCAAAACGACGUCGCUUGGUUCGUGACAUAUGCGUGAUAGAUAUACACUGUCACAGAAACAUGUGAUAGAUAAAAUGUUGUCAUAGAUUUAUGAAAGGGGCUACAAUGACAGAUGGAAACUCUGUCAUAAGAGGGGUCGGAUGACAGAUAUUCUCUGUCAUGAUAGCCCAUUUUUCUAGUAGUGCUCAUUUUCCUUGCCAAUAUACAUUUCCAAAACUUUACAUAAUUUGGCAUUUGUUCCAAUGCUUCCACAAAAGGAAUGUUGAUAUGCAGUUGUUUCAAUACUUCCACCACCUGUCCCCAAGUUCCCACCACCACCUCACCCUUGCGUCUAUGCAUCUCCCCCUCCUCCUUACUACUACUAGAAAGCGGCCAUGAAUAGCUCAUGCUUUUAUGGUAAUCUCAUUUAUUUUUAAAACUGUACAUGUAAAGACUAGUAGUUCAGAAUUACAUUAAGCAUCAAAUUUAAGCACCGUGUUCUAUUUAAUUGCGUUCCUAUUGAUUAAGUGACAAAUAAAAGAGAUUGAUUAAUUUGUUCUUGUAGGAGAGGCGAAUGGUAUCCGAAUAAAGAAAGCAAGGGUUUGAUGGAAGGCUUACUUGGAGCAAGAUAGCGAUCAAUCGAGUUGCUGCGUUUUAUUCUCUUUUAUCUUUGUUUUUUAAGAAAAAUAAACUGCCACACGUAGAAACAGAAAAGUUCUUGUCAUUUUCAUGCAUAUGGAUUGUUGCUGUGUGUUUCAAUCAAUUCUCUGGCGUGUCAUUUGUAAUUUUCAACCUUCAUGCAUGCAAAUGCGAGACCUCUUUCGUAUAAUAAAAUUAGGGGAUUGUCACUUUCCCCCUACAGUAAUUAACAUAUAUUAUUUAUUCUCUUACUAUUUUUAUAAUGGCCAAAAACCCACUGACAACAUAAGUUUACAAUAUUACCUUUAUUUUUAACUACUCUUUUAUUUACAUUUAUUAUAAAUUAAAUAAAUUACAUGAAUAGAAACUAAAUAAAAAAAUUAAGUAUUAAAAAUAAGAAAUAUAUGUUGAUAUGAGGAAAAAAAUUAAUAAUAAAAUUUUUUUCUUGUAAUUAUUUAUUUUGUGAACAUUUUCUUAUAACAUUUUGUAAUAUUUUAAAAUUAAAUGUAAAAAGUAUAGGCAAAAUAUUUUAUUAUUUAUCUUAUAAUAAAUUGUUAUUUGUCAUUCAAAUUUUCUUAUAAUAAUUUUUUUUAUCAUUUUAUAAUAACUUUCUUAUAUAUUUAUUAUAAGAAAAUUUUCACAAAAUAAAUAAGUACAAGAAAAAAAAUUUAUUAUUAAUUUUUUUCUCAUAUCAAAACAUAUAAUAAUUUUUUUCUCAUAUCAAAACAUAUAUUUCUUGUUUUUAAUUCCUAAUUUUUUAUUUGAUUUCUAUUCAUGUGAUUUAUUUAAUUUGUAAUAAAUAUAAAUAAAAGAGUAAUUGAAAAUAAAGGUAAUGUUGUACACUUAUGCUAUCAGGGGAAGUUUUGGCCAUUAUAAAAAUAGUAUGGGAAAAAUAGUAUAUGUUGAUUACUAUAGGAGGGAAAUUAGCAAUCUCCCAAUAAAAUUAAUAUACUUCCCAAGACCGUCUUAUCUUGCGUUGACUUUUUACGUUCCUUUGGUGAUGAUUUUGACGUUUGAAAUUGAUGACUAUUGUUUUUGUAAACUCUGCAUGGAUUUUUCGUGCAACUACAGAGCGCAUUAACGAGAGACUUAUUCAUGAGGGUCCAUGCAGAUCAGUGUCUAAUUAACGAAUAAUUAAUAUAACUUAAAAAAUAUAUAGUUAACAAUUUUUAUGGGUCAUGCUCAAUUGCAGAUGUUCGUACAAAAUUUCUUGCUAAUGUAUACUUGAGUAUGAUAAUAAGUUUUAAUCAUUAUUAAUAAUUCACUUGAUAAUAUUAAACAAAUUUUCAUAUCAAUUAAGUUACAAAAUUUCUAUGACAAAUUUCCACGUACUGGAACCAUGCAAAAGGGCUUUAUUCAAACAAAGCUGCAUAGCCGUUGGCAAUUAAAAUAAUUUAUCAAUUAAGUUAAGUAGUAAGAAUUUUAUUGUGGAUUCGAUUAAUUAUUUCAAGGAAAAUUCUAUCGAUAAUGCCGUAACGAAAAUUACACAUAAAAUUAGUAAAUGUAAAGUAAAACCAGUAAAUUCAUAAAAAAUUAUUAAUUAUUUAAAAAAUUAAUAUUGUUUUUACAUAAUUUUAGUGCAAAAUAUUUUAUUUAGUUACAAAAAAAAUUUCUUUAAUUAAACAAAAAAAUUAUACAGAAAAAAAGUGGAAUACGUUUUAUUGAAUUGGUUACCAUAAAUUCUGUAAUUAUUCUAGGACAUUUGUAUACAUUUUUUUCUCAUUUUCUAUAAUGACAUCUAUUUAUUACACAUGUUAAUUAAGCGCAAUUAUUUAUCUUGAUGUGGAUCAAGUAAAAAUAAAAGAAAAGAUAUAUCAAUCAAAUUAGAUAUAAUUUUGAAUACUAUGUAUACUUUAUGUAGUUUCAAACUUUUUACUUGUAUUUGGAGACCAUUUAAGAUUGUUGUUGAAGAAGUGUAGAAAGAUGUAAAAUAACGUCAUCUUACAACAAUUAUAAUGAUAUCUAUUUAUUACACAUGUUAAUUAAGCACAAUUAUUUAUCUUGAUGUGGAUCAAGUAAAAAUAAAAGAAAAGAUAUAUCAAUAAAAUUAGAUCUAAUUUUGAAUAGGGAGAUUGCCAAUUUUCCCCCUACAGUAAUCAACAUAUACCAUUUUCCCCCCUACUGUUUUUAUAAUGGCCAAAAACCCCCCUGAUAGCAUAAGUGUAUAUUAUUACUCUUAUUUUCAACUACUCUUUUAUUUAUAUUUGUUAUAAAUUAAAUAAAUCACAUGAAUAGAAACCAAAUAAAAAAUUAAGCAUUAAAAACAAGAAAUAUAUGUUUUGAUAUGAGAAAAAAAUUAAUAAUAAUUUUUUUCUUGUACUUAUUUAUUUUGUGAAAAUUUUCUUAUAAUAAAUAUAUAAGAAAGUUAUUAUAAAACGAUAAAACCAAUUAUUAUAAGAAAAUUUGAAUGACAAAUAAAAAUUUAUUAUAAUAUAAAUAAUAAAAUAUUUUGUCUAUACUUUUUACAUUUAAUUUUAAAAUAUUACAAAAUGUUUAUUAUAAGAAAAUGUUCACAAAAUAAAUAAUUACAAGAAAAAAAUUUUAUUAUUAAUUUUUUUUGCUCAUAUCAAAUCAUAUAGUUCUUAUUUUUAAUACUUAAUUUUUUUAUUUAUUUUCUAUUCAUGUAAUUUAUUUAAUUUAUAAUAAAUAUAAAUAAAAGAGUAGUUAAAAAUAAGGGUAAUAUUGUAAACUUACACUGUCAGGGGGUUUUUGGCCAUUAGAAAACAACAAGGGGGUAAAUGGUAUAUGUUAAUUACUGUAGAGGGGAAAGUGACAAUCCCCCUUUUGAAUAUUAUGUAUACCUUAUGUAGUUUCAAACUUUUUACUUGUAUUUGGAGACCAUUUAAAGUUGUUGUUGAAGAAGUGUAGAAAGAUGAAAAAUAACUUCAUCUUACAACAACUGUGAAAGAUAUUAAAAUAAUAUUUUUUCAAAAUCCAAUUUUUAGCAUAAAUUUCAUCCUUAAUUAAACAUCACAUGUAUUAUAUAAAUGAAAAACUAACAUUAUUCAAUUUAAAUUAAAAAAUAAUAAAUAUAUGAGGUAAUAAAUAUUAUAACGAGUUUUUAUUUUAAAAUUGUAAACUUUUGUUUCUGACAGUAACUCUUAUAUUAAUUUACUUAUUUUGCCUUUUAUUCAUAAGUUUUAUGCAUAAUCUACAAACUUUAUGUUUUAUUUUGCAUUUAAUGUUGAUUUACCUUUUUUAUAUUAUAUUUAUAAGUUUUCAUUUGAUUUACCAGUAAUACAUCAAUUUAUCAAUUUUAUAGUAAUUUACUUAUUUUACCUUCUUUUUACAAUUCUUAUGUUUCAUUUUCAAAAUUUAUGUUUUAUUUUACAGUUAUUGAUGAUUUACUAGUUUUAUAUUAUGUUUGCAAGUUUUUGUUUUAUUUACUAGUAAUAAAUUAAUGGGUAAUUUUUAAUUUAGUCCUCAUGUUUUCGAGAAAAAAAUUCAGAGACUAGAAAUUUACUAAAUGAAUCAAUUAAAUUAUUUCAAGCACAAACUAAUGUCAAUCAAGUCCUUAACUUAAUUGCUUAGUUAAAAAUAUUAACAACAUUGAGGAUAUUUUAGUAAAACAACAAUUGAGCCCUUCCUCAUUCUUUAUUUUUGACAUGUGGCAAUAGUUUAAAGUAAAUUCAAUUAACCUAAUUAAGUUAAGGAUCAGUUCUUGCAAACGAAAAAAAAAAAAAAACCUACAAAAACUGCCAUAAUCUUCGUGUGAGAGGAGAGAUCGAGAGAAUGUGGGAUGGUGCCAAAAAUGUUGUAUAAAUCUACUAUGAUUUUGACCAAAGCUUUGUUAGCAUUUGUUGAGUUCAAGUACUGGAGAGAACCUAAUUAUAAAGGUCAGUAACUCUAUUUUUUUAGUGAUUUUUGCAAGCGUUUUUUGAUAAAAUUGUUUCCAUAUUUAGUGAUCGUUGUGAAAAAUUAGGUUUUUCAAGUCUAUUUUUCUAAAUGACAAACUAUGUUUAAUUACUGGUGGUUUUUUUUUUAUUGAAUGUGGUAUUUUGUUAAUACAUUGUUUUUAAUUUGCUCUUCAUGUAAUUAUUAGACCAAAUACGCCAUAAUUAUAUUUGUAUUCAUUUCAACCAAUUGGUAUUGUUAUAUUAAUAAGAUUGAAUUCAUUGUAUUUGCUUCUUUGUUCAUGCAAAAAUUGAAUUCUAUGUGUUCUUAUGAGUGGUAAUUUUUCUAUAUAUUAGAAUAAAUUCACAAUAGUUGCUAAUUUCUUUCUUUUUGCUGGGUUAUUUUUUCUUUUUAGUUUUUAUUUUUUAUAUGUAUUAGAUUGAAUUUGCUUUUGUACUUUUUUUAGCCGAAUUACAUGUAUAUUUCAUUUAGGUUAAGUUUUUUUGUUCUUUGCUAAAUAAAAUUGUAUUGGUUUAUCCUUUUUUGUUGCAAUACUUUUUGUUUUAAAUUGAUGCAAGUAGCCAUGUUACCUUUUGUUUUUCAGUUAAAAUUAAUGGGGUGGUGUAUGAGAUAGGAUAUAGAGAACCAGAGGAAUAUAAGAUUAUUAGGUUGUUUCAUGAAAUUCAAGAAUUCAUGGUUAAGCAUGGACAUAAUGAAAUGGAUAUGAUUGAAAUUUCUAUUGUAUUGCCAUGGACUACAAGUAGGCAGAAAAAGCUAAUUUCAAACGAUAGUGAAUUGUAUUGGGUUUUUUAGGAGUUUUUUUUUUUAUCAAUAGUUGUCAUGUCAUUGAGUUUGAGGUGCACACUGGGUCAGGUGGUCAGUCAUGUCAUGAAAAUGUUGUAAUAGGAUCUGAAAAUCUUAUCAAUAUAGCGGUUGGGUGGGUAGUGAUAAGUUUGAAAAAUUUAGUGAGGAUGGCUUUAUCGGAGGGCUCUCAUCUAAUGAAGAGAAUGGUCUCUCACAUAUGUAUAAAUCCAUUGUUGAUAAUGAGUAGAAACCAAAUCCAAAUAGUUUAAUUAGUCUAAAAGUAGGAAAUACAUUUGAAUCUGUUGCAUUAUUAAGAGAGGUUAUAAUGAAGUAUGCAAUCGAAGAGGGUUUUUAGUUGAAUAGGAUUAAAAAUGAUGGUGUUAGGUAUUAUGUCAAUCUAAAAUGCACUUGGAAACUUAAUGCUUCAUCGAUGGUUGACGGGAUAACUUUUAAAAUUAGGUAUAUUAAAGGGAAACAUGAUUGUCAGAUUAAAUAAGUUAACAAAGAUGCAACAGCACAUUGGAUGAUGUACAUGUCAUAAUGAGAGAGCUAAAAGAUAAACAUAGGAUUGAAUGUGAUAAACAAGAACUAUGCAGGGCAAAAGAAAUUGCACUAAAAAACCUAGGUCUUGACCAUGUUGCUUGCUAUGGAAAGCUUUUGAAAUAUGCUCACAUUCUAAUGAAAAUGAGUAGAGGUGCUUGUGUCAAGCUAAAGUUGAUAGGCCAUUGUCAAAUAGCCUAGUUUUUCAAAGGUUUUUUUAUCAUUUCCCGCACUUAAAGUGGGGUACCUAACUGGGUGUAGACCUUUCAUAAGAUUGGAUGGGUGUCACUUGAAUGGGCCAUAUAGGGGAGUAUUGUUAUCUGUUGUUGCAUUAGAUGCUGACAGUAGAAUUUUGCCACUGGCUUUUUGCAUAUGUGAGGCAGAAAACUAUGAUAGUUGGGGUUAUUUUUUUUAUCUUUUUUGUAUGAAUUCAUUGGGGCCGAUGAUCAUAGACCUGUGACUAUUAUUAGUUAUAGACAAAAAGGUCUUUUAUGGCGACUAAAAAAAUAUUAGCCUAAUGCUAGCACUAGAUAUUGUGCUAGGCAUAUCUUUGCCAAUUGGAAGUGCAGGUUUCCUGGUUUGAAUGUGAUGGGGUUAUUCUGGAAAGCUUGUAGGGCUGCAAAUCAAUAUGACUUUGAGAGGGCAAUGAGUUAAAUUAGGGCUAAAGACCAAAAUUGUUGUUGCUUAAAGAUUGUGGGAAUAUGAGAUAUUUCCUUGGAAACCAGCAUUGGCUCUAAGUUAUUGCUUAAAGAUGUCAAACAUGUACCAUAUAUUCUUCUUAAUUUGAUCUCUACAGGCAAGCUUGAUGAUGAUGGUUAUACCAACUAAUUUGGUGAAGGAGUAUGUAAGCUCACCAAAGGCUCCUUAGUGUUAGUUAAAGAGAGGAAAGUAAACACCCUCUAUGUGUGAUAACUCUAUGAAACGAGAGUUAUUAUAGAAAUUCUAAACUUAAAUCAAUAUUACUUACAGAGUAAAUGAUGUGUUUCUAUUGUAUUUUUGUUACAUUGUGUAUAAACAUUCAUUUUAGUUUAGUCUUAAUAAAUUUUGCUUAAUUUAGAAUAAUUCGUGCUUAAAUUGUGUGCAUAAUUAUAGGUGUCUAGAAGCUCAUAUCUCAUGGAAGGAGUGUUGAUGCAAUAGGCUUGUAAAAAUGAGGAAGAACAUGGCUACAAAAGAAUUGAAACAAAUCUGGAAUAAUGUAGUGUUGUAGCCGUUCUUGUAGCAACCAUUGCUGUAGCAAUCCUGGAACAACGAUAGAGAAAAUUUAGCACGAGAUACUUGUAGAAUCAAGAUCUGCAAUUUCUUAAUUUGACUUAUGCGCGCCCUGGGCUUCUGUUUACCCUAGUUUUCAGUUAUAAAAAGAGCACGCAUCAUAUGGUAAAAGGGGCGGUGAAUUAACAGCAAAGAAAUCAAGAGGAAAAGAAUGAAAAAUCAGAAUUCAAGGGAGAACAAGUCUGCACCAGUGAAGAUAUUGGCAUAACUAUUUGGAUUCAAUUUUCAUCGUUCUUUACUUAUCCCUUUUCUUACUCUUUGAUUGAACCGAUGGAUUUCAUCGCUGAUACUUUGUUGUUUGUUUUUCUUUUCCAAAGUAUGAACUAAAUUUGAUUGUAAUUGAGUGACAAACAAUCUCAAUGGGUUCUUGACUGUUCUUAUGAGUUAUUAAAAGAUUGCUGUAGCAUUUUGCUGUAAUAGCUUAUAUUAGAAUUAUUAUUUCGGUUGACCUCCCAUUUAAUGGUUCAAGUUAAGAGAGAGCCACAAAAUGGCAUGUCUUAGUGGAAAUUAUUAGAGUAAUACUUGAUCUUAAUUUAAGUUUUCUGGAUUGAGUUUAACUUGAGCCCCAAAAGAGCCACACUUGAGUUAAGAUUUGUGAAGAACUAGAUAUAGGGAUUCACCUUAUAGGGUAGAGGGGGUGUAUGUUCAUAAUGCCAUACCUUAGGUGAAAUGACAACUGGUCAUUGUUAGAGUGCUUAAGGGUAUGAGAAGUCCAACAAGCGACAGCUGAGGAUGCAAAAUAAUUUUGCACUGUGCUGUUGGAAUUGCUGUAAUAACUGGUGUUUAUUUGAACAGAACAGUCAGCCCAUGAAUAGAGUUUGAUCAUUCAGCUACCUCAUUCUCAUUAAAUUCUUCUUUACGCAAUUCAUCUAAUUUACUUUAUUACUGCAUUUAUUUUAUUAAAAUUGUUAAUUUCGGUAGUAAUAAACUUUAAUUAGAUUUCUCUUUAGAUAAAAGAAAUUUGCACUGUCGUGAUUGCUAUAGCAUUUCUAGUAAUAUCAGUUCAUGUGGAGACGAUCUUGAAUAUUCAUCAUUUUAUUACUUGUUGUGUACACUUGCACAUGAUAUCAAUAGCAAUUGAGUUAAAUUAAAUAACAAGUUUUUGGCGCCGUUGCCGGAGAUUGAUUGUUUAUUUUUGAAGUGUGAAGUCAAUCUUGACAAAUGCCAACUUGAUCUAAUUCAUUCUAUUUAUUGACAGAUCAUGACUUGCAUGGGCAAAGGCAGAUCUGUUGAAUUUCAAUUUGAUCCUGAGAUUGAAAGGACUGUAAGGAGAUUGCGAAGAGAGUGAAGAAAUUCAAAAACUGUUUCAAAAAUGGAUAACUUGCAAGAUGUGGGAAACUUGGAUCCUCACGGGCCACUACAACCUGUCAAUGUUCAAGAGGGGCAAAUGGGCACGUUAAUCAAAGACAACCAAGCAACAACAAUAUCAUUUACAUGGAAGACGAUAGAGAUAGGGUUAUCAGAGAUUAUGUUGUGUUAACUCCUUAAGUUGUACAUCUUGGAAUAGUCAGACCUGAAGUGGAAGCCGCCAACUUUGAACUUAAACCGGUAAUGUUUCAAAUGCUACAAAUAGUGGGUCAAUUUAAUGGACUGUCAUCUGAAGAUCCUCAUCUCCAUCUUAAGUUUUUUUUGGAAGUAAGUAAUGCUUUUAAAACUGCUGGAACAACGCAUAAUGCUUUGAGACUGAGGCUUUUUCCUUACUCCUUAAGAGAUCGAGCAAGAGCAUGGUUGAAUUCCUUACCAUCUGAUUCCAUCACUACAUGGAAUGACUUGGCUGACAAAUUCUUAAUGAAAUAUUUUCCACCAACCAAGAAUGAAAAAUUGCAAAAUGAGAUCACCUCUUUUCAUCAACUUGAAGAUGAGAGCUUGUUUGAGGCUUGGGAGAGAUUUAAAGAGUUUCUCAGAAGAUGUCCUCAUCAUGGCAUUCCCUGUUGCAUACAGCUAGAAACCUUUUACAAUGGGUUGAAUCCAAGUACAAGAUUGAUUGUCGAUGCUUCAGCAAAUGGAGCCCUAUUAUCCAAAUCUUACACUGAAGCUUAUGAAAUUUUGGAGAGAAUUCCUAACAAUAACUACCAGUGGCCAUCAACUGAAAAACUGUAGCAAGAGAAGCAGCAGGGGUACAUAACAUAGAUGCAAUUACAGCACUGUCAGCUCAAGUAACAUCAUUGACUAACAUGGUAAAAGCCAUGACUUCUACUUCUACAGUAGUAAAGCAAGUUGCUGAACUAUCUUGUGUGUAUUGUGGUGAGGAGCAUGUAUUUGACAAACUGUCUAGGAAAUCCAGCAUCAGUAAACUAUGUGGGAAACUUCAACCGACAGCCCUAGAACAACCCAUAUUCAAGUACUUACAACCCUGGAUGGAAUCAACACCCAAAUUUCUCAUGGAGCAAUCAAAAUCAGCAUGCUUCAGCACCUAGUGGACAGAACAAACAUGCUCAUCCACUUGGUUUUCAUCAGCAAAAUUAAGAGCAAAAACACACUAGCCAUGAUCAAAUCACCUCAUUGGAAACACUUUUUAAGGAAUGUAUCGUAAAGAAUGAAGCAAUUGUGCAAAAUCAAGCUGUAUCUCUGAGAAACCUGAAAAACCAAAUUGGACAGUUUGCCACAGCAAUGAGUAGUAGAUCUUAGGGAAGUUUACCCAGCAAAACAGAAGAUCCAAGAAGAGAGGUAAAAAACAUUGUAAAGUAAUCAACUUAAGAUAUGGGAAGAAUGUUGAUAUUGCUGUUGAUGUGACUAAAAAGAGGUUGGAACUUAACUCCUCACAAGAACCACCUCAAGAUGAAAUGAUGUUACAGCAACCCAGCCACUAAGAUACUGGCACUAGUGGUCAAGCUACAGCAACCUUGGAAGAAAAUCACCCAAUACCUAUUGAAGAAGAUGUUGCAACACCAGUGGUGACAAAUUACAAUAAAUCAAAUGAGCAGAUAUUGGUACCUCUUGAAGUUGUACAACAAUUUAGGCAUCCACCUCCUUUCCCACAGAGAUUCCAGAAACAAAAACAAGACUAAUAGUUUAGCAAAUUCCUGAAAGUGCUGAAACAGUUACACAUCAACAUACCUUUUGUGGAAGCAUUAGAGCAAAUGCCUAAUUAUGUGAAAUUUCUAAAAGAUAUUUUAACAAGAAAAAGAAGGUUGGGAGAAUUUGAAACUGUUGCUUUAACACAGGAAUGCAGUCACAUGUUUCAGAGUAAGAUUCCUAAAAAAUUAAAGGAUCCAGGAAGCUUCACAAUAUCAUGUUCAAUUGGAACUAAGUACAAUGGCAGAGCACUCUGUGACUUGGAGCCAGCAUUAAUCUAAUGUCAUUAUCUCUAUUUAAGCAAUUAGGAGUAGACUUUGAGUCUGAUAAAGAGGUACCAAUUAUAUUUGGAAGACCUUUCCUGGCAACCAGGAAGACUCUGAUAGAUGUUCAGAAAUGAGAGCUAACCAUGAGGGUGAAUGACCAACAAGUCACCUUCAAUGUAUUAGAAGCUAUGAAGAGUCCUGAUGAGGCAGAAGAUUAUAAUUUUUUUAGUGUUGUGGACCUUGUUGUGGCAGACAGAAUAAAUAGAUGCUGCAGUAAAAAGGUUAUCAAAGCUGCCACCUUUGAAAGCUUUGAAGAAGAAAAUGUUACAGCAAACCAGAUAGAUUGGAUGGUAGAAAGGCAAUCUAAAAGACAUAGCAGAUUUAUCGAACCUCUAAAUCUUUCAAACAGGGACAUAAAGACAACUUUACCAUCUAUUGAAUCAACUCCUACUCUUGAAUUAAAAUUGUUACCUUCACAUUUGAAAUAUUCAUAUCUUGGUGAGAACAAUACACUUCCGGUAAUCAUUUCAUAUUCUUUAGAUGCAGAUCAAGAAAGAAGUCUGGUAUAUGUGCUUAGGAAAUAAAGAAAAACAAUUGGAUGGACUAUGACAGACAUUAAACGGAUCAGCCCAUCCAUAUGCAUACAUAAAAUUCUGUUAGAAGACUGCUAUAGCAAUUCAGUAGAGCAACAGAGAAGGCUAAACCCCAUUAUGAAGGAAGUUGUAAAGAAAUAAAUCAUCAAAUGGCUGGAUGUUGGGAUCAUAUACCUGAUAUCAGACAGUUCAUGGGUGAGCCCAGUACAAUGUGUUCCAAAGAAAUAAGGAAUAACAGUAAUAGAAAAUGAAAAGAAUGAACUUAUUCCUACAAGAACAAUGACUGGAUGAAGGGUAUGUAUGGAUUAUAAGAAGCUCGACAAAGCCACACGGAAGGAUCACUUCUACUUUCAUUUAUAGAUCAAAUGUUAGACAGAUUUGCUGGAAAAUAAUAUUAUUGUUUCCUAAAUGGGUAUUUAGGUUACAACCAAAUUGUUAUACCCCCAGAAGAUCAGGAAAAGACUACAUUCACCUGUCCUUAUGGAACUUUUGCCUUUAAAAGAAUGCCCUUUGGUCUGUGUAAUGCUCCAGCAACUUUCCAGAGAUGUAUGAUGUCUAUUUUCUCAGAUAUGGUGGAGCAAACAUUGGAAGCCUUCAUGGAUGAUUUCUCAGUUUUUGGAGAAACAUACACUGAUUGUUUACAUAACUUGGAAGAAGCUCUUAAAAAAUGUGAGAUGACUAACUUAGUACUCAAUUGGGAAAAAUGCCACUUCAUGGUGCAAGAAGGCAUAAUGUUGGGUCAUAGAGUGUCCAAGAAUGGCAUAGAGGUAGAUAAAGCAAAAAUAGAAGUGAUAGAUAAACUGCCACCUCCCACUUCAGUCAAGGGUAUUAUAAGUUUUUUGGGACAUGUUGAAUUCUACAGAAGAUUCAUAAAAGACUUCUCCAAAGUAGCUAAACCAUUAUGCUCACUACUAGAACAUGACAAGCCUUUUCAUUUUGAUAAAGACUGUCUUUAAGCUUUUAAAGAAUUGAAGAAAAUUUUGAUCAUUGCACCAAUGGUUAUAACACUAGAUUUGACUCUAUCUUUUGAGCUGAUGUGUGAUGCCAGUGACCACUCUGUUGGGGCAGUGCUGGGGCAGAGAAAGAAUAAGAUUUUCCACUCUAUAUACUAUGCCAGUAAAACUCUUGUUCAAGCUCAGAUUAAUUACACCACUACAGAAAAAGAGCUGCUAGUAGUAGUAUUUGAUUUCAAUAAGUUUAAAGCUUACUUGGUGGGUACUAAAGUGACAAUCUACACAGAUCAUGCAGCCAUCAAGCACUUAAUCUCAAAGAGAGAUGCCAAACCAAGAUUAAUAAGAUGGGUAUUAUUGCUUCAAGAGUUUGAUUUGGAAAUUAAGGAUAGAAAGGGGACUGAAAAUCAAGUAGCAAACCAUCUAUCGAGGCUGAAAGCAAAUACGAGCACAUUGACUAAACAAGACAUCACUGAAACAUUUCCUGAUGAACAACUGUUAGUGCUAUAACAUGCACAGAUGCUACAGCAACCGAGAUCUCCAUGGUAUGGAGAUUUUGCUAACUACUUAGUAAGUGGAUUGCUACCACCUGGGUUGAAUUUUCAGUAGAAAAAGAAAUUUCAUUUUCAGUAGAAAAAGAAAUUUCAUUUUCAGUAGAAAAAAAAUUUUCAUUUUCAGUAGAAAAAAAAUUUUCAUUUUCAGUAGAAAAAGAAAUUUUCAUUUUCAGUAGAAAAAGAAAUUUUUUCAUGAUGUUAAAAGCUACCAGUGGGAUGAUCCAUACUUGUAUAAGUUAUGCUUAGAUCAGGUAAUCCGAAGAUGUGUUUCAGAGGAAGCAAUUUCACAUAUACUGCAAUAUGGCCAUGCUGCAGCAUAUGAAGGACAUUUUGGUGGACAAAGAACAACUGCUAAAGUUCUACAAUCAGGUUAUUACUGGCUUUCUAUUUUUAAGGAUACUUAUGAGUUUGCUAAACGUUGUGACAGAUGCCAAAAGACAGGAAACAUAACUCAAAGACAUGAAAUGUCAUUAACAAACAUUCUGGAAGUGGAGAUUUUUUAUGUAUAGGGAAUAGACUUCAUGGGCCUUUUCCCACCAUCCUUUGAGAAUUUUUAUAUCCUGGUUGCUGUGGAUUAUGUCUCCAAGUGGGUAGAAGCUGCAGCAUUACCUAUCAACGAUGCAAGAGCAAUAGUGAAUUUUCUUCAGAAAAAUAUUUUUUCCAGGUUUGGCACUCCACGAGCAAUUAUUAGUGAUGAGGGUACUCAUUUCUGCAACAAAGCAUUUGCUGCAGCAAUGGCCAAAUAUAGAGUCAAACACAAAAUUGCGACAGCAUAUCACCCACAAUCCAAUGGCCAGGCAAAAGUAUCUAAUAGGGAAAUUAAGAAGAUUCUAGAAAAGGUAGUGAAUCCUUCAAGAAAGGAUUGGUCAUUGCGAUUACAUAAAUCUUUAUAGGCUUUCAGAACAGCAUAGAAGACACCACUUGGCAUGUCUCCCUACCAAAUUGUGUAUGGAGCACAAAGCAUAUUGGGCACUGAAGCAAUUAAAUUAGGAUAUACAUGCUGCAACAGAGCAGAGGAAACUUCAACUAUGUGAACUUGAUGAAUUACGGUUAUUCUCAUAUGAAAAUGCAAGAAUCUAUAAGGAGAGAACAAAACAAUGGCAUGACAAGCACAUCCAAUAAAGAAAAUUAAUCCCUGGUCAACUAGUUCUGCUCCAUAAUACUAGGUUAAGACUAUUUCCAGGAAAGCUGAAAUCUAGAUGGUCUGGACUUUUCAAGCUGCUCAGAAUUUACCCUCAUGGGGCUGUUGAACUCUUAGAUGGAAAGACAGGCCAAGAAUUCAAAGUUAAUGGGCACAGAGUUAAGCAUUACAUGCAUUCAGUUACAGAUUGUUCAAAUGAGGUCGUACUCCUUAGUAAACCGGCAUUGUGAGCAUUCAAGAAAGGUCACGUUGAAGGACCUUAAAUCAAACAUUGAAUGGGAGGCAACCCAUUGCUGAGGCAGUCAUUUCAAAUGAAGUGGAUCCUCCAUGUUUUUGUUGUAGUAUUUAUUUAUUUAUUAUUUUUCUUAGUUAGGAUUGUUUAAUUUUUAUCUUUUAUUGUUUUAUUUUAAAAAAAAACGAAACAUGCCAAGUCACGCAAUUCUUAGAGUUGGAUUCAAUACUGACAAUUGGUGUUGUAAUAUUAACAGGUUACAAAGGCAAGUUACUUGACAGCAACCAUCUGAGGAGAUUGUUGUGCAGAUUGCUAGAGCAUACAUUUUGUUGCUGCAACAACCAAUUUUAUUAUUACAGUAACUUAACUACGGAGCCUCACAUUUUACCGUUGGAGAUAACAUGUGACAGCUAGUUGGGUGAACUCAGAUAAAGAUUGGGGAAGAAUGCAUAAUCUCUUAAAUAACUGCAUCAAUAUCUCUUUCCUAUUUUUAUGGGAUAUGCUUAAUAAAUUCAAAAAUUCUUCCCUAAUUUAUCUCUUUUACCAAAUUUAUUUUAUUUAUUUUGCACCUAUAUAAGAGUUUCAUUGUGCAUGUUGACCUCUAACACUAUUUUCUUUUCCCUUCACAGUCACAACCCCUCUAUUUUAUAACCUCUGCUCUUCGUUUCACUCUUGAACAUAUUACCACAGUUAUCCUACUACUGCAGUAAUGCCAAGGUAUAAAAGGACAGCCAGCCGACUAAACGAUCUAUCACAAUUUUAAAGUUACCAUGCGGAAGAGAAGUAUGAAGAAUUUAUUGAACCGCGCAAGAUUUUGGAAGAAAAAGGGCUUCAGUUCCCACCUCAACCCUCUAGAAUUGUGCAAUCAUUAUACGAUGCUGCAGCAAAGCACGGGUGGCUGGAGUUUUGUAACCACCCCCGAGAUCCUGUGUUGGAGCUAUUUGCAGCACUUGGAGGACCACCUACACCAAUUUGUUGUAUAUAUAAAAGUACCCAUAACAAUUUCCCUGAUUCACUGCUACAACAGUACAAUUUUGGUACCUCCAUUAUAGAAGUCAGUGAAGAUGUUGCUGACACAGAUAAACAUGAGGAAGAAACAGCAGCAGAACAGCAAGCAGAUGCUGAUAUAGAUGCUGAUAACCAGUCAGACCAGCAUGAAGAAUAAUGUGUCCAGUCUACAAUUGAUAGUUCCCCGACAGAGGAGGAGGAAAAGCAUGAGAAAGAACUCGAAGAACCCUCAGCCAGGACCUUUUCCAAGUCCAGGAAAAAGCACAUCAUACGAGAAAAGGAAGAUGAACCUGCAGAGGAGCCUCCCAUUCCAUUCCUCUCUCGAAAGGGCAAAGAGAAAGUAAUUACCCCUCCUGCAUCUGACGAUGAAGCCGAGCACAUUGAUGCAGAAUUGGAAGUUGCAGCAGCCAGGGUUACUCGUACACCCAUCGAGACAAAGCAUAUGCUUGAUAUCAUUGCCGCAAUCAUGACUGAGGGGUAUACAGUCGAAGACCCAACUCCAGCUCCCUCACGGCAAACCCCCAGCAAACCUAUUCUCGCUAGUCCUAAAGGACCCAGCAAAAGAAAGGGGGGCACUUCUGGAGGCAUUGCUGCAGUAGACACACCAGAGCCAAAGAGGACCAUAUCUGUUUUGUCCCAGCCAGCUGCACCCACUGCAACUCCUCCUACUAGCCCAUCGCAAAGAAAGAAAAAGUCAUUGCCAACUACCUCACCGCAAGAAUCUCCUAAAGACCGACUGCGGAGCGCCUCCAAAAAGCGGUGAAUUGGUUAUAAUUUAUUGCAGCAGUAUUUCUAGCACCAGGGGAGUACCACUACCCGCUAGUUUAUUUUACUUCUUCAUGCAACAACUUUUUCUUCAUUUAGUUUUAAUUUUCUGAUUUAUUUUGCAUGUCUUUUUAUUUAGUAUAUGCAUAUCUGGUUUAUAUGGUUUUGUUUUGUGUGCCUGUGAAGACACAACACCUUUCAAGUUUUGGGGGGUUGUGCUAUCAUAUAGUGUGUUAUUGAGUGCAUUGCAUGUGUUGUGGUGUUGUUUGUGAAGUGAAGCUCUGUAUCUACUGCUUAUGUAUGGAUUUGAAAGCCUAAUGAAGAUAAAUUGAGUGUUACUCAGUAUGUAUGAGAAUGCCCAGUAGGGAUAGUCAUAGAUGGAGAUUGAAAUUAUGUCCCGACACUUAGACUUUGGUUGAAAUUCAUGAGACUGCUGCAGCAAAAUCAAGAAAACUGCAAAGAGUAGAAAAUAUAUCAAGUUUAGGGGAAAUGUGUGUGUUGAGUUGUGCUUAUUAAAGUCUGUUCCAAUGGCUUAAAUGGUUGAGUAACUACGGCUGAGUAUGUACCCCAUAUGCAGACUUGAGUUAAAAAGCAACAAGAGUUAUGAGCAUUGUUGUAGCAAUUGAAAAAAAAAAGAAAAAAAAAAGAAGUCCUCUGUCUGAGAAAUUGAGUAGCCAUGUCUGUUAAUGAGCCCCAUGUUCAGCCUUGAGUUAAAGAUAUCUUUAGAUAAGACUAUGUUAUGACCAUUGCUAUAGCAACUCUGACAUGUACGUUGAGUAAGUAAUUGGGUGUCAUCAUUACAAGUGAUAGGCAUUCACAUGAAAGUUCAAUGUUGUAUUGAAGGGAGUGAAUAUAUAGAUAUAUAUAUAUAUAUAUAUAUUGUUUGUUGAAGCACAAUUUAUGUUUAUUUGUGAAUUAUGCUCUCCCAUAUAUGAAUAUAUUUGUGUUCUACCUUUGAAUUACAUGCAAUAUCUCUGUAAUGUUGUAGCAUCUCUGGACUUUGAUCAAAGUGGCACACACAUUUUGGACAGAAUGCAGCCUAAGUCUAGAACUGAACUGUUAUGGCUAUUUUGCAUGAUUAAGAGUGUGAUCUGAGGGUGGAAGAAUCCUUGCAACUUUGAUGAUAAAGCUGAGCUAUUUGUUGCAUGAUUGAGUGAUUGAAGUGUUAGCAUUGUUGUCAUUACUUAAAAACAAGUAAUGGUUUAAGUUUGGGGGUGUGAUAACUCUAUGAAAUGAGCGUUAUUAUGGUAAUGCUAGAAUUAAAUCAAUAUUUACUUAGAGAGUAAAUAAUGUGUUUCUAUUAUAUUUUUCUAUUGUAUUUAAUAAAUUUUACUUAGUUUAGAAUAAUUUGUGCUUAAAUUGUGUGCAUAAUUGUAGGUGUCCAGAAGCUCAUAUCUCAUGGAAGGAGUGCUGAUGCAAUAGGCUUGUAAAAAUGAGGAAGAACAUGGCUACAAAAGAAUUGAAACAAAUCUGGAACAAUGUAGUGUUGUAGCCGUUGCUGUAGCAACCAUUACUGUAGCAAUCCUGGAACAACGACAGAGAAAAUUUAGCGCGGGAUACUUGUAGAAUCGAGAUCUGCAGUUUUCUAAUCUGACUUAUGCGCGUCUUAGGCUUUUGUUUACCCUAAUUUUCAGUUAUAAAAAGAGCACGCAUCAUAUGGUAAAGGGGGCGGUGAAUUAACAUCGAAUAAAUAAAUCAAGAGGAAAAGAAGGAAAAAUCAGAAUUCAAGGGAGAGCAAGUUUGCACUAGUGAAGAGAUCGGCAGAACUAUUUGGAUUCAAUUUUCAUCAUUCUUUACUUGUCCCCUUUCUUACUCUUUGAUUGAACCGAUGUAUUUCAUGGCUGAUACUUUGUUGUUUGUUUUUCUUUUCCAAAGUAUGAACUAAAUUUGAUUGUAGUUGAGUGACAAAUAAUCGCAAUGGGUUUUUGACUAUUCUUAUGAGUUGCUGAAAAAUUGAUGUAGCAUUUUGCUCUAAUAGCUUAUAUUACAAUCAUUAUUUCGGUUGACUUCUCAUUUAAUGGUUAAAGUUAAAAGAAAGCCGUAAAAGGGCCUGUAUUAGUGGAAAUUAUUAGAGUAAUACUUGAUCUUAAUUUAAGUUUCCUAAAUUGAGUUUAACGUGAGUGCCAAAAUAGCCACACUUAAGUUAAGAUUUGUGAAGAACUAGAUAUAUGGAUUCAUCUUGUAGGGUAGAGGGGGUGUAUGUUCAUAAUGUCAUACCUUAGGUGAAAUAACAACUGGUCAUUGUUAGGGUGCUUAAGGGUAUGAGAAGUCCAACAAGAGACAGUUGAGGAUGCAAAAUAAUUAUGCCCAUGAAGAGAGUUUGAUCAUUCAGCUACCUCAUUCUCUUUAAAUUCUUCUUUACGCAAUUCAUCUAAUUUACUUUAUUACUGCAUUUAUUUUAUUAAAAUUGUUAAUUUCAGUAGUAAUCAACUUUAAUUAGAUUUCUCUUUAGAUAAAAGAAGUUUGCACUGUCGUGAUUGCUGUAGCAUUUCUAGUAACAUCAAUCCAUGUGGAGACGAUCUUGAAUAUUCAUCACUUUAUUACUUGUUGUGUACAUUUGCAUAUGACAUCAAUAACAAUUGAGUUAAAUUAACCAACAAUGUGUUAGAAGCCAAGAUUAAGAAAGAAGAUGUGAAUGUGGCUAUAAAAGAUUCUGACAUUGAGACAUGGUAUAAAAAGUUUGGUCACAUUGGUGAAAAAGGGUUAGAAACUCUUGCCAGAAAAAGAUUUCUACCCAGCUUCGUAGAUAUGUCCCUCAAGACUUUUGCUCAUUCCUUAGCUGGAAAGACACACAGAGUAGCUUUUAAAAGGUUUUCUCCAUCUAGAAAGUCGCAAAUCCUUGAUUUGAUUCACACUGAUUUUUGCAUGAUGUAAAGUAGAUCAAUUGGAGGUGCACUUUAUUUUGUUACUUUUAUUGAUGACUAUUCUACAAAGGUGUGGGCUUUUGCUUUGAAAUCUAAAGAUCAAGUGCUUGAUAUAUUUAAGUUCUUCCAUACUUAUUUUGAGAGAGAGACGAGAAGAAAAUUAAAAUGCGUCAGGGUAGAUAAUGGUGGUGAGUAUAAAAGGCCAUUUGACCAAUAUUGCAGAUCCCAUAGAAUUAGACUUGAGAAGACCGUACUAAAACCCCACUGUAGAAUGGUAUUGCAGAAAUGAUGAACAGAACAAUUGAAAAGAGAGUCAGGUGUAUGCCUUCUGAUGCCAAGCUUCAUAAAUCCUUCUGGGCAGAGACUAUGCGUUCUGCAGUUGACUGGAUUAAAUUUUUCUCCUUCAGCUCCAUUGAUGGUGAUGUACCUGAGAUAGUUUGGACUGAAAUAUAUGUUUAUUACAAACACUUGAGAGUGUUUGGUUACAGAAUAUAUGUUCACAUUCAUAAGGAUGAAAGAUCGAAGCUUGAUGACAAAGCUAAAAAAUGCAUUUUCUUAGGCUAUGGGCAUAAAGAAUUUGGGUACAGAUUAUGGGAUCCAGUGCCAAGAAAAUUGAUCAGAAGUAAACAUGUUGUGUUCCUCGAAGAUCAAAUAGUUAGUGAUGCAGAGAAUAGUGAUGAGUCUCAGUCAUCUCUAAAGAUUCCUAUUAUUCUAACUUUAGUUUCUUCAUCUAUAGUUCAUAAUGAUCAUGGAGGAGCUGGAGAGGAUAGUAAUGAUGGUCCAGCAGAACUAGUUGACCAAGCACCUCCAGAACCACCUGCACCAUCAAUGGAGCCUGAAUUGAGAAGAUUUACUAGAGAACGGUGACCUUCCACCAGAUAUCCUCCACAUGAGUAUAUGAUGCUUACAGAUGAAGGGGAGCCAUAAUGUUUUGAAGAAGCCAUGUUUCAAAUAACUCACAAUAACGAUACAAGGCUAGACUGGUUGAUGGGGUACCUAGCAACUUCUUGUUGUGUGGGCUGAUCAGACUUUACUUUCUUAGUUUCUGAUUCUUCUUAUGCUUGCAUUGUUACAGCAUAUACGGAGGGUUGUGCCUUUUUACGCUUGUUGGAUGCCCUAGGAGUUCUGCUAGGAGAUUUGAUGGGAGGUUGUUGAGUAAUGCUUACUGUAGUAGUUUCCCCAGAUGUGAUUUUAGCAAUAAUAUCAGGGAAACUCUUAUUUGCUUCAUCAGUUUUUGUAGCCCUGGUAUCAGCUGCUUUAAUUUCUGCAUCAAUAUCAUCUUGAUCAUUGUCUGAUUCUUCAUCAGUCAGAACUUUUUGUUUACCUUUACUUAGAAACACUGUAAUCGGGGGUUCAUCAUCCUGCCCAUCCUAUGUCUCAUCUUCGUAAACUUUUAUGAUGUGCUUCUUUUUACGUUUAGGAGGUACUACUGGAGGUGCCUCAUCCUUCUACGUUGCUGAUUCGUCUUCUGUACUAUAUUCCUCCUCUAUUUCUUCUUAUUAUUUUUCCUUCUUCUCUUUCUCUUCCUCUGCUGGUAGUGGGUCUUUUUCAGAUUCUAAUUCUUCUUCACUCUCUGCUGCUGCCUCAACUACUGGAGCAUCCCUUGUUAAUGUUUGGAAAUUAAACGGCUACAACAAGGAGUCAUGGAAAUCUUUGCUCUUUUUCUUCAUGUAGACUUCAAACUAAUGUCUAUGGUUUUCAAGGUGCAUUAAAUAAUUCCUGAAUCUUUGAUUUUGUUCUUUCCAUGCGUGUACACAUUCAUUAAUGGUGUCACUUAAUUCUUGCAGCUUCAUCUCAAUGCCAGUAACGUUCAUUGCUCUGGUCACAACAACAUACUCUGGUGUUGCUGUAGUAGUAGUUUCCCUAGCAAUUCUUUCAACAAUUCGAUCAGUAAGAGCUCAUUCAUUCUUAAUGCUUUCAUCUUUUGCUGAUAUUUUCACCCGAAAUACCAGACAAAUCCUAGUAAUGAGUGAGCGAAACAACAAAGCAGCAAUCUUGUGAUUUUUCAUGGCACACUCUAAUCUCCCUCUCUAUAAUUUUCCUCACAUCAAUUGGUAUACCCUUGAAAAUGGCAUAUAAUAGGUAAGAUUUUCAUGAGAUACGGUGGUGGUGUAUGUGGUGGGUAUCAAUCGAGAUUUUAGAAAUUUUACCCACACUUUGGCUACUGGUUUCAAAUCAAUUCUAUUCACUCCUCUGCCUUCCUCAUUCAACCAUGAACUACCCUCCACCAUAAGGAUUUCAAGCACAUCACUUCACUCCUUAGCAAUCAUAUUCUCAAUCAUUUUUGAAUACUCACAAUCAAUAUCAUAUGGUAAAUUAUAAAAAAGCAUUGAUUACCCUCGGAUCUAAAGGGACUUGAACAUUCCUUACCACUAUUGUGCAUUGGUCUUGCCGCAACAUGUUGGAGUAAAAUUCCUUAACGAUUGGGAGCACAAGGUCUCGUGGGUGAGUGUAAAAAUCUAGCCAUCUUUUCUUUGCUACAGCAACAUAGAUUGUGUUGAUUGUUCCUGAUGGUUGUUGAGGGAAUUGAAAAUCAUUUUCCUCUAAAAUCUUCUUAGGCUCUAUAAAUUCUUCAAAUUAUCCUCGGCUUUGUCACUAUGGAAGCGUGAGGGGUCCUUUAGUCGAGCAGUUGUCUUCUUGUACCACGUUAUUGCUAGAGCAACAAAACUGAGUUGUUGGGUACCUAAAAAAGAAAAAACUCAUGAAAGUGACUCUAAAGUAUGUGGAGAACUGUGGACUAGAAGAGAAAAAAUUUGGAUAAGAAUGAAAAGAAGCAUUGUGAAACCCUAAUUUAUAGGUCACGGUAAAAUAGAAAAAAAUAAUUAAUGAGGUAAAUUUAGAAAUUGUAUUUGAAAUUUAAAAUAAAUCCACAUUUACGUUCGGGAAUUUAGGGAUUAUGUAAUCCAUUCUUAUUUUUUAUCUUGAUUUCUUGAGCCAUCUAUCAAAAAUUUACUCCCAACGGUGCAAAAAUACUUUCCAUAGUUAUGUCACUAUAACGGUAAGAAUCAUUGCUACAACAAGUAAUAUAGUGCUGCAGCAACUGCGAUAAAGUCCCUAGUUUGAUGAGAACCAUUGUUCAACUGUCAUAUAAAGUGUAAUGCUGCAACAUCUUGUGUCAGUGUUUUAUCCAAAAAAAAUUCAUUAUUAUUUAUACAUGCCGUAAUAAAAUAAUAGACACAAAUAAAUUAGAUAAAAACUUCAAAAUAUCAACAACCGUAAAGAAAAACAUGAAAACUAAAUUUAAUGUUAAAGGAAAAAUUGAAAUAACUCCCUUAAUCAUUGGGUUGCCUCCCAAUUAGCACUUUAUUUAAGGUCUUUCAGUCUGACCCCCCUUAAUUGCUCAAACUGGAUUUAUGAGGCACAAAUCCUCCCUUGAAUGGUGAAAAUCAUCAUUAAUAUAGUGUUUCACCCGCUGCCCAUUUACUAUAAAUUCAAUGCUAGUUCUCUCAUCUUUGAGGUCCACAGCCCCAUGAGGAUGGAUUUUGAUAAGUCCAAAAGGCCCUGACCAUCUAGACUUUAACUUUCCUAAAAAAAAGCUUUGAUCUAGAGUUGUAGAGCAAAACUCAUUGACCUAGAAUUAAAUCCCUUUGCUGGAUGCGUUUAUCAUGCCAUUGUUUUGUUUUGUCUUUGCAAAUCCUUGCGUUAUCAUAAAAGAACUAUCUUAAUCUUUAAACUCACAAAGUUAAAACUUCCUAUGCUCUGCUGCAACAUGCAUGUCCAUGUUCAGUUGUUUUAGCGCCCAAAAUGCUUUAUGCUCUAGCUCCAGUGGCAAAUAGAAAGCUUUGCCAUAUAUAAUUUUAUAUGGUGACAUGCCAAGUAGUAUUUUGUAAGCUGUGCGAUAUGCCUGUAAGGAAUCAUGUAAUCUAAAAGACCAAUAUUUUCUAGUAGGGUUCACCACUUUUUCUAAAAUCCUUUUUAUUUCCUUGUUGGACACUUCUGGCUGACCAUUAGAUUGAGGGUGAUAUAUUGUAGCAACCUUGUGCUUAAUUCUAUAUUUGGCCAAUGCUGCAGCAAAUAUUCUGUUGCAAAAAUGAGUGCUUUCAUCACUGAUGAUGGCUCUAAGAGUCCCAAAUCUUGUGAAAAUGUUCUUUUAAAUGAAUCUCACCAUGGCUUUGGCAUCAUUUGUUGGUAGUGUUACAACUUCCGCCCAUUUGAACACAUAGUUUAUAGCAACUAAAAUGUAUAAAUCCCCAAAAGAGGGUGGGAAUGGACCCAUGAAAUCCAUCCCCCCAACAUCAAAUAGCUCAACUUCUAAAAUGUUGGUUAAUGGCACUUCAUGUUUUUUAGAGAUGUUCCUUGUUAUUUGGCACCUGUCACAACAUUUAACAAACUUAUAAGCAUCUUUAAAAAUAGAGGGCCAGUAAUAACCUGAUUGUAUAAUUUUUUUACUGCUGGUCUGUGGCCUCCAAAAUGGCCUCCAUAUGCUACAGCAUGACAUGAUUGCAGUAUGUUUGAAAUUUCUUCAUCAGAUACAUAUCUUCUAAUCAUAUAGCCUGAGCAUAUCUUGUACAAAUAAGGUUCAUCCAACUGAUAACUUCUAACAUCAUUAAGAAAUCUCUUCUUCUAUUGGUAACUUAGAUUAAGUGGUAACAAUCAGCUCACCAAGUAAUUAGCAAAAUCUACAUACCAUGGAAGCCCAGAUUAUUGUAGCAUAUGUGUAUGCUUUAGCAUUAACAAUUGCUCAUUAAGAAAUGUCUCUGUGAUCUCUUGCUUGAUUAGAGUGCUUUCAUCUGCUUCCAGCCUUGAAAGAUGAAAUUCUCCUUGGUUCUCAGUCCCUAUUCUUUGUUUAAUCUCGAAGUCAAAUUCUUGUAGCAAAAGGAUCCACCUUAUCAACCUUGGUUUGGCAUCUUUUUUUUAAAAUCAAAUACUUUAUGGCUAAGUAAUCUGUGUAAACAGUCACUUUGGUGCCAACCAAAUAAGCUCUAAAUUUGUCAAAUACAAAGACAAUUGCUAGUAACUCAUUUUUCAAUGGUAGUGUAAUUAAUCUGAGCAUCAGCUAAAGUUUUGUUAGCAUUAUAAAUAGAGUGAAAAAUUUUGUUCUUUCUUUGCCCUAACACUGCUCCAACAGAGUGGUCGCUGGCAUCAGAUAUCAACUUAAAAGGUAAGUUCCAAUCUGGUGUUAUAACAAUUGGUGCUGUAGCAAAAGCUUUCUUCAAUUCUAUAAAAGUCUUUAAACAAAGCUUACCAAAAUAGAAAGGCCUAUCAUGCUCCAGCAGCUAGCAUAAGAGUUUUGAUAAUUUAGAAAAUCCUUAAUGAAUGUUAUAUAGAAUUAUGCAUGUCCCAAGAAAUUCCUAAUGCCUUUAACUGAAGUAGGUGGUGGGAGUUUACUAUUUUGACCUUCUCCACUUAUAUUCCUUUUCUAGAGACUUUAUGGCUUAGGAUUAUCCCUUCUUGUACCAUAAAAUGACACGUUUCCUAAUUCAACACUGAAUUUAUCUCCUCACAUAUUUUAAGCAUAUUUUCUAGAUUAUGUAAACAAUCAUCAUAGAUCUCCCCAAAAAUCGAAAAGUCAUCCGUGAAUACCUCAAGCGUUUGCUCUACCAUAUUUCAAAAAAUAGACAUCAUACACCUCUGGAAUGUUGCUAAAGCAUUGCACAAACUAAAGGACAUCCUUCUUAAAUCCUUCUGAAAUAAGCAAAAGUUUCAUAAAGACAAGUGAAUAUUGUCUUCUCCUUAUCCUCUAGUGCUAUAGCAAUAUGGUUGUAGCCAGAAUACUCAUCCAAGAAACAGCAGUACUUUUUUCCAACAAGUAUGUCUAGCAUCUAAUCUAUGAAAGGCAACGGGAAGUGAUCAUUCCUUGUGGCGUUGUUUAGCUUCCUAUAGUUCAUGCAAACUCUUCAUACAGUUACUGUUUUGUGGGAAUAAGCUCAUUCUUCUCAUUUGUUGCAAUAGUCACUCCACCUUUCUUUGGAUCACAUUGUACUGGACUCACUCAGGAGCUGUCGGAUAUUGGGUAGAUGAUUCCAGCAUCAAGUCAUUUGAUAAUCUCUUUCUUGGUCAAUUUGGGUGAGUACUUGCUAGCAAUCCUCUAGCAAUUAAUUUGAAUUCUUAUAGCUAUUUGACAACUAUUAAUUUAUGUUUUUAUAUUUUCAUAUUAAAUAUAUUUAUUUAUUUAUUUUGAUAAAUUUUUAAAAAAUCAUUACUUAAAUUUAAUUAAUGAAAUAUUUUAAAAAAAUAUUAAAUUGAUAAAAUAAAAUUAUAAAUAAUAACUAUUUGAUGACAUUAAACAAGUUAAAAAGUUAAAGGGGUAAUUUUAAAAGCUUUGAUUUCCAAAAGAAGAAGAAUUUGAAUUCUUCAAUUCUUUGUAUAAAAUUCAAAUUCUAUAUUAGGAUGAAUAGUAAAUUCUAAUAAAAUUUAAAUUCUUAUAUAUUUUGUCCAACCAAACAAUUAAAAAAAAAAAUUCAAAUUACUUUCCUAUUCUCUAUCCUCACCUCCCAACCAAACACCAUCUAAACUCCUUAAUAUGCCACCCACAUAUUCAAACACCUUUGAGAAUCAAAGUAUCCCAGAUCUCCAGUAAGGAACCACCCAAAUUGAAAAGUAGUCUUAUUAGCCUCAGGAUUACCUUUAAUCAAAGUAUCCCAGAUCUUGCUAGCAAUCCUCUAGCAAGAUCUUGUACAUACAUAUGGAGGGGCUGAUUCAUUUGAUAUCUUUCAUGGUCUAUCUAAUGGCCUUCUUGUAUCUCCCCAACAUUUCCACUCAGCUCUUUACUUGAUCUGCAUUCAAAGAAGAUGAAAUGAUUACAUGUAGUGUGUUAUUAUCACCAAGAUAAACAUAUUUUAGAUGUGAAGGUAGAAGUUUUAAGUAUAAAACAUGAGGUAAUUCAAUAGAUGGUACAGCAGGUUUCACUUCCCCAUUUGAAAGAUCUAGAGACUCAAAAUGUCUGUUUGUCCUCACAGGUCGCUUCUCUCUUAACUAUGCUAUAUGCGUUGCUGCAGCAUCUUCAUCUUCAAGUUCUUCAAAUGUGGCGGCCUUGAUUUCUUCAUUGUUGCAGCAAUUAUUUAAGAUGUCUGUGACAGUAAGCUUCACAGCACCGACCAAAUCACAAUCUUCAACUUCAUCAAGACUCAUCAUUGCUUCCAAUACAUUAAAGGUAACUUACUGAUCAUUAACCCUCAUACUCAACUCUCAUUUUUUAACAUCAAUUAAAGUUUUUCCUGUGGCUAAAAAGGGUUUGCCUAGAAUAAUUUGUACUUCUUUAUCUGCUUCAAAGUCCAACACUAUGAAAUCCACUGGAAAAAUGAAUUUAUCCACUUUAAUCAAUACAUCUUCAAUUUUGCCUUCAGGAUAAGCAUGAGAUUUAUCAGCAAGUUGCAAUGUCACUGUGAUUGGUCUGACUUCUCCAACUCCCAAUUAUGUGAAUACUGAUAAUGGCAUAAGAUUAAUGCUUGCUCUCAAAUCACAAAGUGUCUUACUAUUGUAUUUAGUUCUUGUGGAACAAAGAAUUUUAAAACUUCCUGGAUCCUUUAACUUCUAAGGAAUUUUACUUUAAAGUAUAUGGUUCCAUUAUUGUCUUAAAGCAACUAUUUUGAAUUCUCCAAGCCUUUUUUUUCUUGCCAAUAUAUCUUUAAAAAACUUCACAUAAUUUGGCAUUUGUUCCAAUACGUCCACAAAAGAAAUUUUGAAAUGCAGUUGUUUUAAUACUUCCAAUAAUUUACUAAACUGCUUGUCAUGUUUUUACUUCUGAAAUCAUUACGGGAAGAUUUCCCCUUGGGUAUAAUUAGGUUAUGUUCUUCUUUUUGGUACUUUAACUAAAAUAUGAACAUCCUUUUCAGACCUUAAGUUAAUCACCUUGCAAUGCUCUUUUCUUUCUCUUCUUGGAUCCUCUGUAUUGCUUAGUAAAUUGCCCUAAGGUAUGUUGCUCAAUGCUGUAGCAAGCUGUCCAAUCUGAUUCUCCAAGUUUCUUAAAGAUAUGGCUUGACUUUGGACUACUACUUCAUUCUUCACAAUAUACUCCAUAAUUAGAGUUUCAAAGGAACUAAAUUGAUCAUUACUGGUGUUUAUUUUCCCUUAAAAUUGCUGAUGAAAUCCAAGUGGCUAAGCAGGUCUGUUAUGUCCAUUAGAUGUUGCAACAUGCUGAUUCUGAUUGCUCCAUGAAAAGUUUGGGUGCUGUCUCCAUUCAGGAUUAUAGAUGUUUGAAAAUGGAUUGGUUUGAUUUUGUCUAUUGAAAUUGCCCGCAUAAUUGACUAAGCUGGAUUUCCAGGACAACUAUCAUAUAGAUGUCCCUCUCCACAAUAAACACAAGAGACUUCAGCAACUUGGUUAGUUGUUGCUGGAGCAGUGGUCGUUGAUUUUACCAUAUUUGUUAAUGAGGUUACUUGGGCUGAUAAUGAUGUCAGUGCAUCCACAUUGUGUACUCCAGUUACUCCUCUUAUUGCGGCUUGUCUAAUUAAUGGCCAUUAAUAGUUAUUGUUGGCUAUCUUUUUCAAAAUUUCAUAAGCCUCAUUGUAUUACUUAGACAACAAGGCCCCUAGUGUUUGAGUUCAACCCAUUGUAGAUAGUUUCCAAUUGUACACAACAAGGAAUACCAUGAUGAAGGCAUCUCCUGGGUAACUCCUUGAAUCUUUCCCAUGCAUCAUACAAGCUUUCAUCUUCAAGUUGAUGGAAAGAUGUGAUCUCAUUCCUCAACUUUACAUUCUUUGUCGGUGGGAAAUAUUUCAUCAAAAAUUUGUCAGCCAAAUCAUUCCAUGUGGUGAUGGAGUCUAGUGGCAAAGAAUUCAACCAUGCCCUUGCUUGAUCUCUUAAAGAAUACGGGAAAAUUUUGAGUCUCAAUGCAUCUUGUGAUGCUCCAGCAAUUUUAAAAGCAUCACUUACCUCCAAGAAUAGUUUAAGGUGAAGAUGAAGAUCUUCUUAUGGCAAUUCAUUGAAUUGCCCCACUGUUUGUAAUAUCUAAAACAUCACUGGUUUGAGCUCGAAAUUGACAACUUGCAUUUCAGGUCUAACUAUUCCAGGAUGUAUAACUUGAGGGGUCAACACGGCAUAGUCUCUAAUGGCUCUGUCUCUAUCAUCUGUCAUGUAGAUAAUAUUGUUGUUCCCUGGUUGUCCCCAAAUAUUCUGCUCAUUAUGGCUUUCUUGGUCAUUAACUGGUUAUAUUUCUCUGUGAGGGUUCAAGUUCCUCAUAUCUUGCAAAUCGUCCAUUACUACAGCAGCUUUUGAAUGCUUAUUCUCUUUCCUCAAUCUCCUUACAAUUCUUUCAAUCUCUGGAUCAAAUUGGAAUUCAACAUGUUUGUAUUUGCGCAUGCAAGGGUUGGUAGAGCUCUUCUACAAACACAUUAAAAAAAAAGAAAAUUAAAAUCUUGCAUCAACUAAAAUUGAUUUCACAAAACACAAUAAGCACCAAUCCCCGGCAACGACGCUAAAAACUUAUUGUAGGUUUUCUAAUGCUAUUAGUGUCAAUGUGCAAGUGCACAUAACAAGUAAUAUAAUGAUAAAUAUUCUAGAUUGUCUCCACAAGGAUUAUUGUUAUAGGAAUUGCUACAACAAUUUUAUCAGUGCAAUUUUUAUUCUAAAUUAGAAUUAAAAUAAAUUAUUAAAUUAAUGAACUAAUUAAGAUAAAAAUGCAAUAAGAAAAAUACAAUAACAUAAAUUAUCACAGCAAAUAUAAGGAUGUAACCAAGGGGAAUGGAGUAGUUGAGUAAUUAAACUCACUUAAUGGUUUUGAUUAUUUUUCUAAUGUUUGGUUCGAUUACUACAACAUCUUCUACAGCACUGGGAAGAAUCCUUAUGUAUCCUCAAUUGUCGCAUGUUGGAUGUCUUAUACCUAAAAACAACUUAACAAUGACCAAUUGUUAUGCUAACAUUAGAUAUAGCAUUACACGUUUUAGAUUCGAAUUACCCUACAAGGUGAAUCCUUAUAUCUAGUUCAUCACUAAUUUUAGAUUACGCAUGACCUUUUUUUAAUCAGGUUAAACCCAAUUCAGGAAACCCAAUCUAAACCCAACUUAGGAAACCUAAUCUAAACCAAGUAUUGUUAUGAUAUGUUCCACUAAGACAGGUCUUUAUAGGCUCUAUCUUAGCUAAUAUCACUAAAUGGGUGGUCAGCCAAAAUAGUGAAUUGAAAUAAGUAUUAUUAAAACAACGUACUAUAGCAAACAUGCCCCAAUAUAGUAUAUCAGUCAAUUAACUAUCAAGUUUGCUCAUCGCUCAACCACGAGUAAAUUUAGUUCAUAAUUUGCAAUAAAACAAUAAUCAAAAUAGUUUUAGCCAUCAAAUAAUCCAUCAUAACAAGAUAAAAGUAAGAGAACAAAAAAUAAGAGUUGAGAUCUGUUUGAUGUUCUUCUAGAAUUCUUUGUUGCCGUCUUCGAUUCUCUCUCUUGAUAUUUGUUUUAUCUUGUUUUGUUUCUCUAUUGUUUCUCUCAAAUGACGGUCUCUCCUUUUUCUUUGCGUUUGUACUUCUUUUAUAUCUUAGCAUCAGGGCAACCGGAAGCCUAGGGUGCGCAUAUUCUAGUUUAGGAAACUCAAGAUCGCAAUCUUCCAAGUAUUAUAAGCGAAAUCUUUUCUGCCAUUGUUCCAGGAUUGCUACAGGAACAAUGCUACAGCAAUGGCUUCAGCACCUGCACUGUUCCAGAAUUGUUUCAAUUCUUAUAUAACCAUAUUCUUUCUUUAUCUUUGCAAGCCUAUUGCAGCAGCAUUCCUCCCUUGAAAUUUGAGCUUCCGGUCACCUAUAAUUAUAUUAUGAUCUAAGCACAAAAAUUAUUCUGAAACAAUGCAAUUUAUUAAAAUAAACUAUGGAUAUUCAUACAAAAUAUAACUAAAAUGCAAUAAAAAUAUGCCAUUUACUCUCUAAGUAAUCUUGAUUUAAGUCUAAAAAUGUCAUGAAAACUUUCAUUUCACAGAGUUAUCAGCAGCAAAAGGGUUAAUCCAACUAUUGAUUUAGAUCAAGUCUAUAAUGACAAUAACCCCUAACUAUUUGAGCUUAAAGCUCUUGCCAGCAAAUGGGCAAUUGGGAUGAAAGUCCUCUAUAAACAACUUGAAUAGAUAAGUAAAGAAAAAAAAAUGUGGCUUCACUAAGUCAAAACAAAACAUAUAAUCUAUUCAUUCAGUAAAAAAGAAAACAUUUUAGCCAAGCAAGCCAUCUUGAAAAAGAAAAAGGCAAUAUAUGAGAAUCUCGUGGAAUCCAACCUGCCAACACACAGUGGGAUAUGCAAGGUGCUUAAUCAUCAAUCAGAUUCUGGCUUUUGCUAUAAAAAAAAAAUCAAAAGAAUAAUCUAGUAAGGAAGACAUGCCGCUAGAUGAAGAGCUCAUAAUUAACACGUGACAGGAGGCCACUAAAAAGAUAAAGAUGCCAACUAGAAGCAUUAAUAUUUCAGAAAGAAUCCAAAGUAAAGGAUAAGACUUAUCGAAAUCCUUACCUCAACCAUGUGAAGACUAUCAACCAUUAGAAAAAGAAGACAAAAGUUGCCCUUAAUAAUGCAAGAAGAAGGGGUUACCUUAUCUCUGGGAAAUCUAUCAGGCAACAAGUGUCAUGUAAAAAGAUAUAAUCUUAUCUCUAAAAUCUAUAUGUGUAAGAAAGGAUUAUCUUAUCUAUCUAAAUCUAUAAAUAAAGUCACGUAAGAUAGAAGAGGUAUCACUCACGAGCAUUCUCUUAUUCUCAUCUGUAUUCUCUCUUUAAAUUCAAAAAUUAAAUAAAAAAAUUGUUUUUGAGUGAAAUUAUUAUCUUUAUAUAACUUAUUUAGAUUUUAGAAAAAAAAAAUCAAGAAUAUACAUGCCAACACUUGUGCUAAAUAAAGAAGAUUUCAUAUUACUAAGCACUCUUCUAUAUCAAUUACAACAGAUUCACUUAGGCAUAUCUUACUGGCUUAGUCUGCAAUGUGUUGCUUUAGGCCGUGUGGAAUAGUUGUGGGAUUGAUCUUGCAUGAUGUGUGGAGCUAUAACAGUGCUGAGCAUGGGCCAAUUUAUAGGCUCAUGGAACUAGCAAAAUUAUUCUAGAAUUUUGAGGAUUGUACUCUAGUUAGUACUCUAAAUUAUCUUAUUAUAUUUUGCACAAAUAAAUGAUAUAGAGUGAUAAUAGCAACUCAAUUUUCAUAAAACAUGGAAAGAUGAGUCGCCAAAUUUCUAGAUGCCAUAGAUAAUCUAGACUUUAGUAAGGAAUAUCAAGUUAUUUAUACAAUGAAAAUUGUUAAAUCUCGAUUAAUUGCAAGGAAGCACUUGUAGAGAGAUAUAGAGAGAAUAAACUAUUAGCCUAAAAGGGCUACACAUAUUGUAAUUUUGAUGAUAACAAACAUGUGUCUUAAGUGAUUUGAUAAAUAUUGUAUAUCACAUUUUCAUUAGUUCUUGAAAGAUAAUAUUUAUGAUGAAGUGAAUCACGAAAAAUCAAGCUCAAGACACUCAACGGACAACGGCGUGAUCAAGAAUAAAGUUUAGAGUUCAACGGAAUCAUUAUUGCGACAAUUCUUGUAAAGCCGGUAUGAUUUAAAAUAUGAAUGAUUUAGCAUUUAAAAAGCUCAAGAUUUUGUUUAAUAAAUCAUUAUUUUUUCAUAAAUCAAAAGUUUUACAAGUAUAAGCUAAGUAUUUUAUGAAAUUAGUUAUUUUUCAAGAUGUGGACUAAAAUGAAAAUUUUUUACAAUCUUUGAUUUUAAAAAGUAUUGUUUUGAAUUCCAGAGUUUGACUUAUUUGCAAACAUUUAAAACUUUUUAGGUCAUACUAUAAUUUAUGAACGUUUGAGGACCCGAAGUGAAAAUAUCCAAAAAUUUGAUAAAGAGUUAGCGGCUAAUCGCCUGAGGGCUAGCGGCUAGCUGCCUAAGGAAAAUCUCAUAUUUUCAAAUUUUGGACUAAAUUAAAAGAUUUUGAGAACUUUGAAAUUUAUAAGUAUUAUGUUAAAUUUUGAAAAAAAUUAUUAAACUUUGGACCAUAUCAUAAUUUCAAAAAGUUUUUAGAAUAACAAGUAUUAUUUUAAAAUUCAAAAGUUGGACCUGUUUGUAAAGUGUUAUAACGUUUUGGGCCAUAGUAUAAUUACAUAAAGUUUUGGGCACAAAUGUAACUUUAUUGUUCUGAAGCAACGAGCCGGAUAAAUUAAGUGGCUAGUCACUUGUUUGCUGGAAUUUACCCAUAACGGCUAAUUUUCAAGCUUUAUCUAUAAAAACUCAACUCCAACUUCAAUUUGGAGACUUUUGCAAGCAUAAACAAGUGCAUAAAAUAUAUAUUGAGCUUUUAUUUCGCAAAUCAUCUUAUAUUGAAUCAUCAUUGUGCUAUUAUUUGUAGAUCUACUCUAAAAGAGAGUUUUUUUUGUUGUAUUAUUCAUUUUUCUCAUCAAAUUUGUAAGUGUAUAAGUGUGAGAAACACUUAUGUGAAGAGAUUGAGAGAUAAUCUCUUGGUUGUAAAGGUUUAUUGACAUCUUGAAAGUCAAAUGUAAUGAACUUGAAGCCUUGGGAAACUUGAAUAGUGAAAUCCUUAAGGUUGGUUGGCUUGGAGGCAUGGACGUAGGCGGGGAUUGCGGAACCACGUAAAAAUUAUUGUGUUUGCUCUAUUUUCCCUUACUCUUCUAUUAUUGUACUUUAUUGAAUUUUUUAUUUUUUAUUUGAUUAAGACAAUAGAUUGAAUUGUUGUGCGAAUUGUUUAGCGUAAGUUUUAAAAUCUCAAUUCACCUCCCCCCCCCCUCUUGGAUUGCAUAACUUGCAUUUCAUAAACUUUAAAGAUAAUAAUUAAAUAUACGACAGCUUUAAGGAAGAAAAUAGAAUAGUAUUAAUAGAAUCUAUUUUAACCGGUCUUGAAAUAAUUCAAGACAGAUGCAAAAUAAAUAACAGGACUCUAAACCGUCCAUAAUAAGUCUAUUGAUGAAUAAAAACAAUAAUAGUGAUGUGAAUAUAUUCGGAUUUUAUAGAUUUUUAUGAAUUUGAUAACCAUUUAGAUCUUUAUAAAAUUAUAAUAAAACUUUAAAAAGCUUUAAAAAUAUAUGUAGAAAAGAUGGAAGAAGAAAUCAUCCAUUUAUUCAAAAUCAAUUAAACAAAAAUAAAAGGUAAAAUACUUGAGUUAUAUCAAUUAUACAAUUUCACAAAAAUUUUACAUAGAUUGCAAAAAGGUCCUUGUGGCACUACAGCAGGUUUCAUAAAUUUUUUACAUACAAAUUUUAUGUUUUAAAAUAUGAAUUUUUUUUUGUAUUUAAUACUUUGUUCAACUAUAUGUACAGGUCCUCAACGUGUUGGUUGAUGUUGAAUAUUCAAAGAUCCACAAGCUAUCAAUGACAACGACUCAAAUUAAACUAAUUCGUUAAUACAUAAUAACUGGGUUGUUUCCUAUGCUUGUUAAUGAUGUAGGACGUUGUUUUAGAAUUUUAGAAUUUUAAUUUUUUAGGUCUUCUGAUAUUUUCUUUUUUAAUUAAAGUUAGUGUCUUAGUCUUUUAUUUCUAUUGUAAUUAUGAUUUACUUUCCCUUUUUAAGUUAACUUAUAAAAGUAGAUUUACUCUAUUAUAAAUAAAGAGAUCUUGUUAUCGCUUUUAUAACUUCAACUUCAGUUAUUAAAUUAAAAACCCCUCUUUUAUAAUUUCCUUUGGUAUUAUCUAUUAAAAAUUCCUCUUUUAGAGUUGUUUGAUUAGAGUAUCAUUUAGCCUAUCUUAACACAGUAUUAAAAAUCCCAUUGAGUUUAAUCAUACUUCGAUUUGAGCGUAAUUAAUAGCAUUGAUUUGGUCCAGUACUUGAACGAUAUCUAGUGUUUUGCUUCUGCUACGCCCAAGGAGAAAAUGAAUUUCACCGUGAGAUAAGAGCAUUAAAAGGAAUUCAUAAGAAAUUUAAAUUAAAUUAGCUACGAAGUGAAAAUAAAUAAAUAAAUAAAUGAAUAUGAAGUUGAAAAUAAGUCUCGCCGCCUGGAUCCAAGGCCAAAACAUUCAUGAUAAGUUAGGUAAUUAAGUACAUGUUUUCAAGCUCUUCAUGAAGAAUAAUGUUAUUGAAAUAAAUCACAAAGACUCCCUGCGCAAAUUAUUACAUUGAUUAAAAAAAAAAUGCCAUAUCUUUAACAGGAUCGUGGCUCUCGGACUGUUAAUUACUUUAUUCCCUGCUUGGCCAACAGCUGGCCACUAAACAAAAUCAUAAAAAUUUUAAAUUUAGUCAAAUUGGUCCCACUUGAUGUCAUCCUUUUCAUACAUAAAAUUGUUUAACGUCAAGGUUAAAUAUGAGAAGUUUGGUAGAGACGGUAAAAAGGAAGUCUAUAUAAGGAGGGGAACGAGCUUUGUUUAUAGCACAAGUGAAACUCCACUUUAUUGAACGAUAGGGUCUCAAAUGGGCUGCCUCUUUGCCACUCUUUUGGUAGUAUCAGUCUCUCUUAGCUACUUGCCGUUAGAAGCCUCCGCAAACAAAUACUACUACACAUCUCCUCCCCCUCCCAAGUACAAGUCUCCACCCCCCCCGCCACCGGUUCACAAUUCUCCACCACCACCCCCGGUUUACAUGCCCCCGCCACCUCCUCCACCAGUCUACGUGCCUGCUCCGGCACCAACUCCAAUUUCCUAUUCCCCGCCACCUCCUGUCCCCAAGUCCCCACCACCACCUCACCCUUACGUCUAUGCAUCUCCCCCUCCUCCUUACUACUACUAGAAAGCGGCCAUGAAUAGCUCAUGCUUUUAUGGUAAUCUCAUUUAUUUUUAAAACUGUACAUGUAAAGACUAGUAGUUCAGAAUUAAAUUAAGCAUUUCAAUUUUAAGCACCGUGUUCUGUUUAAUUGCGUUCCUAUUGAUUAAGUGACAAAUAAAAGAGAUUGAUUAAUUUGUUCUUGUAGGAGAGGCGAAUGGUAUCCGAAUAAAGAAAGCAAGGGUUUGAUGGAAAGCUUACUUGGAGCAAGAUAGCGAUCAAUCGAGUUGCUGCGUUUUAUUCUCUUUUAUCUUUGUUUUUUAAGAAAAAUAAACUGCCACACGUGGAAACAGAAAAGUUCUUGUCAUUUUCAUGCAUAUGGAUUGUUGCUAUGUGUGUCAAUCAAAUCUCUGGUGUGUCAUUUGUAAUUUUCAACCUUUAUGCAUGCGAAUGCGAGACCUCUUUCGUAUAAUAAAAUUAAUAUACUUCCCAAGACGGUCUUAUCUUGCGUUGACUUUUUACGUUCUUUGGUGAUGAUUUUGACGUUUGAAAUUGAUGACUAUUGUUUUUGUAAACUCUGCAUGGAUUUUUCGUGCAACUACAAAGCGCAUUAACG
rnacentral:lncRNA from 1 species